GGAGUCUGGCUCUCGAGAUUCGGAGGGCGGUGCCUCUUCGAUUUUGUAGCAAGCAAUCCUGUUGGGAGUGUUUGUCUCGAAUGUGAGUAAAGGUUGGGCAUGUUUGCUAGUCUACCUUGCCACGAAGCACAAAGGUUGACACACAGAGACUUUCCAAUUAUCCAGCAAUGGUACUGUUCCUUUACCCUCUCUUCGCUUUUGAGAAAGUAGUCAUGUUGGGAGUCUGGCUCUCGAGAUUCGGAGGACGGUGCCUCUUCGAUUUUGGAGCAAGCAAUCUUGUUGGGAGUGUUUUCUCGAAAGUGAGUAAAGGUUGGGCAUGUUUGCUAGUCUACAUUGCCACGAAGCACAGAGGUUGACACACAGGGACUUUCCAAUUAUCCAGCAGUGGUACUGUUCCUUUACCCUUGUGGGUAAUAAUAUGGUAGCUAGACCUUCAAAAUUUAUGUGUCUAAACUUUGUUAGUGCUGUUUCUUUGCUAUUCUUUUACCUUUCUUGGUCAGAGCGAUGUAGUGGGAGCUGCAAGCUUCACGUGCUCAACUUUGGCAGAGAACUUUGGCAAAGUUAUCUGUGGUACCAUGAGCUAUUGUUGCGUGUGGGAAGUGGGUGAUUGAACAGUAAGAUUCAUGUGCUUUCUACUUCACCAAAAGUCUUCGACAGAAUUCCCAUAAUUUCUGCAAAGCUGAGUGCGUGUGACAGGUGCUGACAAGGCUAGAAAAGUAGGUGCCUCUUCGAUUUCUGAGAUCGGCCCUCGUGGUCUCUGAGCAGCCCAGCUUUUGAGAAAGCGAGCGCCUCUUCGAUUGAUUCGGAGAACGAUGCCUCAUCGAUUUUUGAGAAAGCAAUCAUGCUGGGGGUCUGGCUCUCGAAGAUUCGGGGAGCAGUGUCUCUUCGAUUUUUGAGAAAGUAAUCACGUUGGGAGUCUGGCUCUCGAGAUUCGGAGGGCGGUGCCUCUUUCGAUUUUGGAGCAAGCAAUCUUGUUGGGAGUGUUUUCUCGAAUGUGAGUAAAGGUUGGGCAUGUUUGCUAGUCUACCUUGCCACGAAGCACAGAGGUUGACACACAGGGACUUUCCAAUUAUCCAGCAAUGGUACUGUUCCUUUACCCUCUCUUUGAUUUUUAAGAAAGUAGUCAUGUUGGGAGUCUGGCUCUCGAGAUUCGGAGGACGGUGCCUCUUCGAUUUUGGAGCAAGCAAUCUUAUUGGGAGUGUUUUCUCGAAUGUGAGUAAAGGUUGGGCAUGUUUGCUAGUCUACCUUGCCACGAAGCACAGAGGUUGACACACACAGGGACUUUCCAAUUAUCCAGCAGUGGUACUGUUCCUUUACCCUUGUGGGUAAUAAUAUGGUAGCUAGACCUUCAAAAUUUAUGGGUCUAAACUUUGUUAAUGCUGUUUCUUUGCUAUUCUUUUACCCUUCUUGGUCAGAGCGAUGUAGUGGGAGCUGCAAGCUUCACGUGCUCAACUUUGGCAGAGAACUUUGGCAAAGUUAUCUGUGGUACCCAUGAGCUAUUGUUGCGUGUGGGAAGUGGGUGAUUGAACAGUAAGAUUCAUGUGUUUUCUACUUCCCCAGAAGUCUUCGACAGAAUGCCCAUAAUUUCUGCAAAGCUGAGUGUGCGUGUGACGGGUGCUGACAAAGGCUGGAAAAGUAGGUGCCUUCUUCGAUUUCUGAGAUCGGCCCUCGUGGUCUCUGGGGAGCCCAGCUUUUGAGAAAGCGAGCGCCUCUUCGAUUUCUGAGAUCGGCCUUCGUGGUCUUUGAGCAGCCCAACUUUUGAGAAAGCAAACGCUUCUUCGAUUUCUGAGAUCAACCCUCGUGAUCUCUAAGCAGCCCAGCUUUUGAGAAAGCAAACGCCUCUUCGAUUUCCGAGCAGGCGCCUCUUCGAUUUCCGAAGCUCCGUCGAGUGCAGAUUUUUAUAGAGGCUGACAUUAAGUUCCAAAGCACACUUGAAAUCCACCAGUAGAAGCUUCAUUCUUGCACUUCUAAGAUCUUGAUUUGUCCGACCUCUUCUCUCUUCAACACCUUUGAAAAAUGUCUGGCCCCUCCGACCGUCGUUUUGACUUGAACCUUGUUGAAGAGGCAGCCCGCCUUCUCCAGACAACAACAUAUGGCGCCCAUCCUUCGUCUCUCCCUACUGGUCCUCUUACCGUUGGGGAUUCCGUGAUGAAGAAUGAUAUGACCGCUGCGGUGGUGGCCAGGAACCUUCUCACUCCCAAAGAUAACAGACUACUUUCCAAACGGUCUGAUGAGUUAGGCUGUUAAGGAUUCGCUGGCUCUCAGUGUUCAGUGUGCAGGUUCUGUGUCUAAUAUGGCCCAACGCCUAUUUGCUCGAACCCGCCAAGUUGAAUCCUUGGCGGCUGAAGUGAUGAGUCUCAAACAGGAGAUUAGAGGGCUCAAGCAUGAGAAUAAACAGUUGCACCGGCUCGCACAUGACUAUGCUACAAACAUGAAGAGGAAGCUUGACCAGAUGAAGGAAACUGAUGGUCAGGUUUUACUUGAUCAUCAGAGGUUUGUGGGUUUGUUCCAAAGGCAUUUAUUGCCUUCGUCUUCUGGGGCUGUACCGCGUAAUGAAGCUCCGAAAUGAUCAACCUCUUAUGCCUCCUCCUUCUAGGGUUCUGUCCAGUACUGAGGCUCCAAAUGAUCCCCCUCCGGUGCCUUCUCUUUCUGGGGCUCUACCGACUGCUGAGACUUCUCCUAAGCAACCUUUGUGAAGGCUCCCUCUUGUGUUGUUUAUUUUGACUCAUGUAUAUGUACAUAUUUGUAGCUUAUCGGGGAUAUCAAUAAAUAAGCUUUCCUUCAUUUCAACGUAUUGUGUGUUAAAUACACCAAAGCCUUCUUCGCUAAGUUCUUUGAAUUUUCUUUUGUUGAAGCUUGUAUGUUGAAGCUUUCUGAGUGGAGCAUGUAGGUUGGGGUAGUGUUCCCUUAAUUUCCCGAGUGAGGAAAACUUCUCGAUUGGAGACUUGGAAAAUCCAAGUCACUGAGUGGGAUCAGCUAUAUGAAUCUUAGAACGCCAUUGUGCUCGAUCCUGUGUCAUGUCCUCCGUUAGAUCCAAGUACUCUAAGUCUUUUCUUAGAGUCUCUUCCAAAGUUUUCCUAGGUCUUCCUCUACCCCUUCGGCCCUGAACCUCUGUCCCAUAGUCGCAUCUUCUAAUCGGAGCGUCAGUAGGCCUUCUUUGCACAUGUCCAAACCACCGUAACCGAUUUUCUCUCAUCUUUCCUUCAAUUUCGGCUACUCCUACUUUACCCCGGAUAUCCUCAUUCCUAAUCUUAUCCUUUCUCGUGUGCCCACACAUCCAACGAAGCAUCCUCAUCUCCGCUACACCCCAUUUUGUGUACGUGUUGAUGUUUCACCGCCCAACAUUCUGUGCCAUACAGCAUCGCCGGCCUUAUUGCCGUCCUAUAAAAAUUUUCCCUUGAGCUUCAAUGGCAUACGGCGGUCACACAACACACCGGAUGCACUCUUCCACUUCAUCCAUCCAGCUUGUAUUCUAUGGUUGAGAUCUCCAUCUAAUUCUCCGUUCUUUUGCAAGAUAGAUCCUAGGUAACGAAAAACGGUCGCUUUUUGGUAUUUCUUGAUCUCCGAUCCUCACCCCUAACUCGUUUUGGCCUCCAUUUGCACUGAACUUGCACUCCAUAUAUUCUGUCUUUGAUCGGCUUAGGCGAAGACCUUUUGAUUCCAACACUUCUCUCCAAAGGUUAAGCUUUGCAUUUACCCCUUCCUGAGUUUCAUCUAUCAACACUAUAUCGUCUGCGAAAAGCAUACACCAAGGAAUAUCAUCUUGAAUAUGUCCUGUUAACUCAUCCAUUACCAACGCAAAAAGGUAAGGACUUAAGGAUGAGCCUUGAUGUAAUCCUACAGUUAUGGGGAAGCUUUCGGUUUGUCCUUCAUGAGUUCUUACGGCAGUCUUUGCUCCUUCAUACAUAUCCUUUAUAGCUUGGAUAUAUGCUACUCGUACUCCUUUCUUCUCUAAAAUCCUCCAAAGAAUGUCUCUUGGGACCCUAUCAUACGCUUUUUCCAAAUCUAUAAAGACCAUGUGUAAAUCCUUUUUUUCCCAUCUCUAUAUCUUUCCAUCAAUCUUCGUAAGAGAUAGAUUGCCUCCAUGGUUGAGCGCCCUGGCAUGAACCCGAAUUGGUUGUCCGAAACCCGUGUCUCUUGCCUCAAUCUAUGCUCAAUGACUCUCUCCCAGAGCUUCAUUGUAUGACUCAUUAGCUUAAUACCCCUAUAGUUCAUGCAAUUUUGUACGUCGCCCUUGUUCUUGUAGAUAGGCACCAAAGUGCUCGUUCGCCACUCAUUUGGCAUCUUCUUCGUUUUCAAAAUCCUAUUGAAAAGGUCAGUGAGCCAUGUUAUACCUGUCUCUCCCAAAAGUUUCCACACUUCGAUUGGUAUAUUGUCUGGGCCUAUUGCUUUUUUAUGCUUCAUCUUCUUCAAAGCUACAACCACUUCUUCCUUCCGGAUUCGACGAUAAAAAGAGUAGUUUUCUACACUCUUCUGAGUUACUCAACUCCCCUAAAGAAUCACUCAUUUCAUGUCCUUCAUUGAAAAGAUUAUGAAAAAUAACCUCUCCAUCUGUCUUUAACCGCGUUCUCUGUAGCAAGAACCUUUCCAUCCUCAUCCUUGAUGCACCUCACUUGGUUUAGGUCCCUUGUCUUCUUUUCCCUUGCUCUAGAUAGUUUAUAGAUAUCCAACUCUCCUUCUUUGGUAUCUAGUCGUUUAUACAUAUCGUCGUAAGCCGCUAACUUAGCUUCUCUGACAGCUUUUUUCGCCUCUUGCUUCGCUUUUCUAUACUUUUCACCAUUUUCAUCGGUCCUCUCCUUGUAUAAGGCUUUACAACAUUCCUUCUUAGCCUUCACCUUUGUUUGUACCUCCUCAUUCCACCACCAAGAUUCCUUUUGGUGUGGGGCAAAGCCCUUGGACUCUCCUAAUACCUCUUUUGCUACUUUUCGGAUACAACUAGCCAUGGAAUCCCACAUUUGGCUAGCUUCCCCCUCUCUAUCCCACACACAUUGGGUGAUUACCUUCUCUUUGAAAAUGACUUGUUUUUCUUCUUUUAGAUUCCACCAUCUAGUCCUUGGGCACUUCCAAGUCUUGUUCUUUUGUCUUACUCUUUUGAUAUGUACAUCCAUCACCAACAAGCGAUGUUGAUUAGCCACGCUCUCUCCUGGUAUAACUUUGCAAUCCUUACAAGUUAUACGAUCCCCUUUCCUCAUUAGAAGAAAAUCUAUUUGUGUUUUUGACGACCCACUCUUGUAGGUGAUCACAUGUUCUUCUCUCUUCUUAAAGAAGGUGUUGGCUAAGAAGAGAUCAUAUGCCAUUGCAAAAUCCAAGAUAGCUUCCCCAUCCUCGUUUCUCUCCCCAAAACCAUGGCCACCAUGAAAACCUCCAUAGUUGCCUGUCUCCCUGCCCACGUGUCCAUUUAAAUCUCCUCCUAUAAAUAAACUUCUCCGUCUGAGCAAUUCCUUGCACCAAGUCUCCAAGAUCUUCCCAAAAUUUCUCCUUCGAACUCGUAUCCAACCCUACUUGAGGUGCGUACGCACUAAUCACAUUGAUAAGUUCUUGUCCUAUUACAAUCUUGAUUGCCAUGAUUCUAUCUCCUACCCUCUUGACAUCUACAACAUCUUGUACCAAGGUCUUGUCCACGAUGAUGCCAACACCGUUUCUCGUUCUAUUUGUGCCCGAAUACCAAAGUUUAAACCCUGAGUUUUCUAGAUCCUUUGCCUUACUACCAACCCACUUAGUUUCUUUGUAGGCACAUAAUAUUUAUCCUUCUCCUCACCAUAACUUCCACUACUUCCAUAGAUUUUCCCGUUAAGGUUCCUAUAUUCCACGUUCCUAAACGCAUUUUGCUCUCUUGAACUCUACCCUUCUGUCCUAGCUUCUUCACCCUCCCCCGUCUAAUAGGAUCAAAGUACUUCUUUUGUGUGUCCCGGGUAAAGUUGAUAGGAGCAUAUGCUCCCAAACAACUUUGAGUGGAGUCGUUCGAAAAGAAGUUUCUAUGGCCCCCUUGCUCAUUUAACACUGCAUCCGGGUGCCGAUGGAGAUGCAGCGACCCUUGCUCACUUAUCACUGUGCUCAGGCCACACAGCGCGCCACUUACGGGUGACGCCCUAGCUUUAGCGCGAUUUUGUUCUGGAUUCAUUUUCAUAAGGAUUCGACGUGAUCAUGGAGUGCCGGCUGUCGACUACCUGACGCCCUCCCCCUCCUCCUUUAUCCGGGCUUGGGACCGGCCAUGUAAGACAUAGGCGGAGUUCAUGCUUUCUUAAAAAGGAAGAAAAAUGCUAUAACUAUAUCAUGUUUCAAAGUUAUAUAUUUCAAUUUUGACCUUUCAUUUAUUGAUUCUUCCACAUAUUUCGUUGUAUGUUGGACAUGGUAGUAUUAAGGAAAUUUAUGAAAGUGAUACAUUAAUGAGAAUUGUGUAUGCAUUUGAAAGAAAGAGUGAUAUUCCUUUGUUUUAAAAUAUUGUGUUUGUUCACCUAGAAAACAGAUUGUCGUUUUGAUGGUAAAGAUAUGGAAAUGGUCUAAAUCUGUACAGGUGGAAAGGAAACUCCACCCACAUUUUAUUUUUCCUUAUUCUACCUUAUUUAGUAAAUGCAGGUGUCAAAAAGUACUAAUUGUGUGAAUGAGUAGUCAAUGCAAGCGUUAUUAGGGUUGUUUUAUGUUAGCUGGUUUAUUUGUCAUACUCAUGCAUGCAUGUGACUAAAUGGGAGAAUGUAUAACCGUGGUAGGUCUACCAAGAUUUGUCAUAAAUAAGGUUGUUUUUAAUGGUAAUCCUCCAAAUAUAACCUUGGAUCUAGUUUCUUUGAAAGUAUCAGAUUUGAGCAGACAAUUGGUUUUCAAAAUGUGACUAUAGCUUUGUUUAGGUUUCAUUCAUAUAGCAGUGGUCUGGUAUCUUCUCUUCCCAGAGGAACCUGUUGCGUAUCUGUUUCUUCUCAUGUCCAAUCUGAUUCUUCAUACUCAUUUUGGACAAAACACCCAUAUGUGUGAUAUGGGUCUGUGUCCAUCUUAAUGUAAUGCUUGUCUCAACUGUGGCAAGUAUACCUAUGAACCUUUUUCUUUUAGAUGUAAAGAUGUCGCAGCAGUGGAUAUAAACAUGGGUUGUCCAAAGUCAUUUUCUGUGAGUGGAGGAAUGGGUGCUGCACUAUUGACCAAACCAGAUCUUAUUCAUGAUGUAAAUAAUCUUAUCCACUUAAGAUUCUUUUUCUUUUCAUCUGCAGAGUGCUUGCAGUUAAUUUCUAACUUCCUCUUUUCCUUUCUAAGUUCAGAUUUUGACUACUUUAUGGCGGAACCUAAGUAUACCGGUAACUUGUAAGAUUCGACUACUAAAAUCAUCUCAGGAUACUGUUGAAUUGGCUAGGAGAAUUGAAAAAACUGGAGUUACUGCUCUUGCUGUCCAUGGAAGGUAAUCUCUCUUAUACCCUGUUGGUAAAGUUCGGCUUUUUGUCUAGUACAUUUCUACAUUAUCAUUUUAAUUAUGCCCUUGCCCAACUGUAUAGUUAUGGAUGGAAUCUAUAUAAAUGCAUGAAAUUGUACUCUGAUUAACUAUCUCUUCUGUUAUGAUUUCCCUGCCUUAUUAUCUACUAACCGUAACAUGCAAGCCAUAGUUGAACUGUAAUAGAACCAUAUUUAAGCUCACCAUAUCAACAGCAUUGGAAACCAACAAACAAGCCAUCCUUACCCGCGGUUACUGUUCGUUUUGGGUCCUAGAUAAAUAUAUAAAUAAAAUUCCUUUAGAUCCCAAGAUUUACAUCUGCUUUGCUGUCCUACGUAGAGGUUGUCAUUCUAAUAUGUUAGUAUGUAAGUGAUUAGAUCUUGAGUUGUAACAGCUUAAUAAAAUUGGGCCCAACAAAGAAAAGGAAAAAUGCUAAGUGAAAAGAACAAGAAAAGGCGGAUAACAUUUGCGCGUAUUUGAGGAAGAAGAAAUUUCAUGGUAGUUUUUGUUGGGGGUCCAUCAUUAAGAGACUGACACCAUUCUAGUCCUGUGCUUUUAGCUUUGAGUCUUUUGACAACAUUUGGUUCCAGGAUUGUGGGAGAAGGAUGUGAAGUUCAGGAUGAGCCAUUGCUAACGUAAGUGAGGAGAAAUUUUUGGAGUAGGUGAGGAAGUGAAAGUAUCAACUGUGGAGUUUGUGAGAGUGAAGCAAAAUGAGAACACCUAGGGCCUACGUUUUGAACCAAACACUUAUGACCGAACAUUUAUGGCCUACCCUAAUUCUACAUUUUGACAACCAUAAGUUUCGAGUGGGUCAUGUAUUAGCAGAGAGGAUGAUAUAAGUAGCAACAGAGGGAAAUAAAAACAAGCUUCAAAGUUGGAUAUAACAAAUGUUAAACAAAAUAGAAAGGCAUAUCUAUGUACACUAUGGCUUUGCAUGUCACAUUAUAAUGAAUGGAAAAAUUAGACUGCAUGAUGAUAGGGUUUUCCUGUCAUAUUGAGUCACCAAAAAUAAAAGGAAAUAAGAAAUAUUUGCAUUCCGUAACAUUAUUUAAUGCGGGAGGGUUUGUUGCCAGCUUCUAUAAAAGUAAAAUAACAUCAAUAUUCUUGUCUCAAUUGCACGAUUCUUGGUCUAACGUGAUUCUGUUCAAUAAAAUGCAGAAAAGUUGAGGAUAGGCCGCGGGAUCCAGCUAAGUGGAGUGAAAUUGCUGAUGUUGUAGCAUCCUUAUCCAUUCCAGUUAUAGCAAAUGGCGAUGUUUUUGAGUAUGAAGAUUUUCAGCGUAUCAAAGUUGCUACAGGUAGCAAUAAGACUAUUCAAGUAAUCUUAAGAUAUUAGAAUUUCUUUAGGACCGUAUCAUAUUUCAUGUUGGGGAUACAAAAUCUUACCUCAGAUAUUUCCUUUCUUGCACCACAAUACUUAUAUCCUGGUCCUAAAGAAAUACCCGAGCUGAGAUUUUAGAUUAAGUAGCCUUCAUGUUAUUUAUAUUAGCUGGGUUAAUAUCAUUUAUGUCAGGGUUUAAUCUAUACGAUUUGUUAUCACAUGAGUAUCUUAGAAGCCUGCAACAUAUGUGACCAUGCACUGUAUGUAUGCACUGUAUGUAUUUUUUCGUCAUUAAAAUGGUAAAAAUGGCACUAAUUUCUGUAAAAUGGAAAAAUCUAGAAAGGCUCAAUUUGGAUACAAAGGUGUAAUAGAUGGGUUUGGAUUUUGACAGUAAGCUUGACAUGAGUUAGAAUACCCUAAAAAUACUAUAUGCAAUUUAUUUGAGAUAACUAGGUUCAGUUGAAUUAAUCCGUAUAUUUCUUCUGUCUUCCUAUGCAAACACAAAAUUUUAUGCAGUGUUAAGAUUAUACUUGUGUAAUUUGAAUAAGCCUUAACCAAAAAUUUAGAUCUGAAACCUCACAUCCCUAAUGGAACUAAAGAUUAGGCGCAUGCGUGUGCUGUGUAUUCUUGAAUACGAUUAUUGAUGGUGCACACAAUUGCUAAAGGUACCUCAUCUGUGAUGGUUGCAAGAGGAGCACUUUGGAAUGCUUCAAUUUUCUGUCCAAAAGGUAAAUUACCAUGGGAAGACGUGAAGAGGGAAUAUGUUAGGAAGGUAAGUGUCUCCUAGUGUUGUGUUUUAUCAGUUGUGCAUGAUGGAAUUAGCUAGUGGUCAUUUUCCCUAGUUAACGGAUUUCUUUGUGGAAGUACACAAAGGACAGAAAGAAAUAAGAGAGUUCUUGAAGACUAUGAACUUGGGAUGAAAUUCAGUUCUGGGAAGCCCUUUGGGCAUUUGUUUCUAACUUUCUAUAGAGUUUAGACUAAUUCCAUUCUGUAGCAUUUGGCGGGAUUGUGUCUCCUUGGUGGUGUAAUCUUUUAUUAUUGUUUCUGGCUCAAGAGAGUUCUGUUGUCCUUUGCCUUCGUGUCUGGUCGUCUUCUUGACCACCUUUUUUUCCUUUUCUUUUCUUGCUCCCUUUGGUGCAAUAAAAGUGUUUCAUGUUAUGAUUGACUGGAGCUAGGCAUGCUGACAUGUUCUUGAACAUCUGACCGCAGAGCAUCUUGUGGGAUAACGACAUUAAAAGCACAAAGCACACACUGAGGGAAAUGAUAACGCAUCAUUCGUCCCUUGAACUUGCAGAAGGAAAGGCUGUGAUUAAAUCAGAAUCCUUGAUAGAUCUUGCGUAAGUGUCAUUUUAAUUGGUCAAAAGAGUGUCAUUUAUGUGCGUAGGAGUUAAGGUCUUUUGUACCGAUUGUGCUGUUAAUUACCUAAUUGUACAAUUUCUUCCUGUUUUUUGUUAUUCGCAGGCGGCUUUAUGGAGCGGAGAAUUAUGAGUUUGUUCAGAACUGAUUCUUUGUUAUUGAAGAGUAGAUAAAUAUUGACGGCCCUUUCCUUUUUACGCCGGUGUUUGUCCUCGGCCUUCAGGACCACCAAGUGAGUUUUGAUUUUCAGUUAUGCGUUUCAUACAUCUACUCUGUUAACUAGACACCAAGAAUAUGUAUGACGACAUGUUGGGGCUGCUAUUGCUAACUGAUUGGUUGGAUGACGAAUUCAAUUGGAUUGUCUUUUCUGUUUGGUUGGAAGUAGAUGGAGGAUGUGGCAUCACUGGAAUUCCUGUUGAUCACAUGUUCAAAUGAUCUAUCCAAUGUUCUCAAACACGCUGAGCGACAGUCGGGCGGUGGGCUGGAGCCUAGUGCCUAGGAGGCUGGCUCGCCUCAGGCGGAGCUCUAAGCGAAUUUAAGUAAAUUUAAUAAUAUCGUAUAAAUAAGUGCUUAUUUAUACUUUAAAAGAUACAUAAUUGCAUUGGAUAUAUAAAUUGCAAAAUAAAAUGAUAUAUAGAUUACAAAGUAUUAGAACAUAUUGAAAACAUUGAGAACAAGUAUAUAAUGAGCGUUAUCCAAGUAUUAAAUAGGUCUUUUAUAUUUUAUUAAAAUAAAUAAAAAGCAAAAUGAAGUUUGUUGUUUAAGUGAGAAUCGCGAUCUAGGUGAGACCGUUUAAGCCGAUCUAGGCUUCAUUUCUUAAUUUUUAAAUGCCUAGAAAUUAAAUAGGGCGGUGGCAGUUGUCUAGCGCUUAGGUAUGAAUUUUUAGAACAGUGGAGCCAUACAUCCAAAACUUGAUUGGUUCAACUCCCACUCCUUUAAAAAAAAAAUUAAUUAAUAAAAAGAGCUUGAAAAUUUUAUGUUUUAACGAUAAAGACAAAAUAAAGGAUAAAGUGAAUAGUACCAUAAUUGAUUUUUUAGAGUAAAAAUGUGGUUUUUCGUUAAAAUGAACAGCAUCGCGGAUUUUUUGUUAAAACUCUCUUUAAAAAAUUCAAAAUAAAGUCAAAUUCUGUAAUUGGGAGGUAUUCGAAAUCGCUCGGAGUUAUAACGUGAGUCGACUGGUUAUACUCUGUUUGUCCGCCACAGUUAAAAAGUUAUCUAAAUGAAAGAAAAUCAAUCAAACCCCUUCAAAACUAAAGUGGGUAAAUUGCACAGUGAGGCUUUUUUACUGGUUCUGAACGAGAUGGUGAGGUCAUUUAUAGUCGACUUGGUGUUGUCACUUGUACCACUUGAGCACUUUCUAUGGUGUUCUUUAUAAUCUGUGUUUUAGGAUACUUCAAAUGUUUUAACCGCUUAAAAAUUUAAAAUUUAACAGUUAAAAAACUCAUAUUACUCCGAACUAUCAUAAAUUUUUUGCUCAACAAAUACGAAAAAAAGAUAUAAAAGUGGCACUAAUCAGCCUAUUCUUCUUACGAAUAAAGAAACAGCAAGCCAGGUGGCAAAAACUUUGGUUGCUCUUUCAGCACCACCGACAGAUGACGGCCGUCGAAUGGCGUAGAGAACAAUCAAGAAGCAAGGGAAGAUUCCAAUGUGGCCACCACAUUAUCUGAUGCCAGUGGUGUUGAUAGAACCAAAGUCUCUAUUUUUUUUUUUUUUUUUUUUUACAGUAGUGUUGACUACCUUGGAUAUCAAGGAAGCUUUUCUUUCUUCCUCAAAACCCUACUUAUGCUUAAACGUUUCGAUCUAAUCAAGCUUUUGCGUUCGAAAAUUUUACGCUUUGUUUCUGCAGUGCGAUUAAUUAAGUCGAUUUUCAGUUAUUGCUUGUCGACAAGAACAAGAACUUGCUCUUUUCGUGCAUAUUAAAAGGAAACUGUAAACAUAUAAAACCGAGUAAACAUUUUGAUCAAACCAAGGAUAAUAUGUCUCAAAUCUUGCAGCAAGAACAAACAAGACAAAAUAUCCUAGCAACAUAAACACUAAUUCAAUCUAAUUCAAUCCCAGCAUAUAUUUAUCGUCUCUCGCCAAAGAUCUGCAAGCUCCAAUCAUAUUUUGUUGAAGGCGACGAUAUCACAGCUCUGCACAUGCUCAUUUAUUGGUUCAGCAGUAAGAUGUUCCUCAAUAAGAGUGUCGACAGAGACCAGGUCGUCAACAAUUGUAAGCAUUAUUUGCAACUUCUUUACCCGUACCCAACAUCUACAAGUUUGGAUGUUCCCCAAUGCAUCCCUUCCAUGUCGACACUUCUUACAGCCUCCUCACGCAGUUUCAUGUCAGUUUCAUCAUCCCAUGGCUUCACGUCCAACAGAACUGAUGACUUUCCAUACUCUUUCUUCUCUGUAUAUGCCUUGACGAAAGCCGCCACACGUUCUUCAGCAACCUUCUUCUCCCCUUUGGUCUCUUCGAGAUCAACAUCGACGAACUCUUCGCCAAAGAGAUCAACAUCGUCAGCUGCCUUUGUUUCAGCUACAGGAGGAGUAUAAGUAGAAGCUGCGUCCCCGGUCUCGAUAAUGACACCAGAUCCUUCUCCAAAAACAGCAGAAAAAAAGAGCAGCGAUGUGGUUGUACCACCUAGACACAUUCACAAAUUCCGGAGAUGGUGGCUUAGAAAGAGCUGCAUGCACAGUGAGAUCAUCCUUGGAAGCCUGAGAGCCAGUGAUGUAACUGCGAUCAAGCAAGUAGUCAUCCAGUUUUUUCAGGCCAGCAGCCGAGUUGAGGCCAAAGAAUGUGACUGCCAUUGCUCAGUUUUGUUUGGUUUUUCCUCAAGGGCGAAAGAGCUGCACAGAGAGAGAGAGAGAGAGAGAGAGAGAGAGAGAGAGAGAGAGAGAAAGAGAGAGAAAGAGAGAGAGCGAGAGAGUUAAAUGUCCUCUCACAGGCCAUGAUAAAACUCAAGAGAGUACGUUGUGGUGUGUUCUGGCAUAUGUGCAGGGUAUCUGUUUAUAUAGAGGUUUGCACACCCUUCUCUACCAAGGAUUCCUAGCUAGACCCUAAUUCAAUAUCCUUUAAUAAGUAGCAAUUCCUAAACCCAUAUGCACCAGGAUAAGCCUUUAUUGGACUUUUAACGCACCUGAAAAUCCACGUCGAGAAUGGGACGACAAAGAAAAAGUUGGAAUAUUUCCGACAAGAGCCUUUUUCUGUGAAGCGCGAAAUAAUAAUAAAAUCCCUCAUCGACACUUUUACAAGAGGGAACUCUUCGCUGCUUAAGAUUAUCUGCAGUCAACUUCUCGACGAAUCUGUUCGCCGCAAAAGGAUCCCUAGCAAAUAUUCCAACUUGUUUCCUUUUGUGUUUUAACACAUUCACCCUUCAAAUAUAAAUCACUUGCUCAUUUGCUUAACCUUGAUGCGCAGCAAUAGCGUGAGUACAUAUUUAUCCCCGCAAAGUAUCGGGGAUUUCGUUUGGUUUUGACCGAUCAAUGCCCUCAUAUUAUUUCCCGUCACAAGCCAUGAAUGCAUUACAUAAAUCAAACUGGAGGUUCAAGUAAGUGGUAGAGCAUUAGUGUUGAUUAUUGACUCAAACAUGUAGUCAAAGUUCAAUUCUUUGGGCUACUUUGUGGUAAUGAGAGACAAACUAUAAUUGUGCCUAACUCUUUUGACUUGAUGGUAGGCCUUUGACCAUUGAUGUCUUUGAGAAGCUUUUCUUUGGCUAUAAAAGGGGAGCAAGGUGCAGCCCAUAAGGAUUGAGAGGUGAACAACAAGGAAGAGAGAAAAAUAGCAAGAAGCCAUUCGGCAUAGAGAAGAAUUUUCUCAAAUUGUCUUGCUUUGUAUUUUUGGUUUUUUCUCUUCCUAUUGUAAGUGUGAGAGCUUGGGUUAUUCGGGUCUUUGGGAAAUUGAGUGAUAAACACUAUUGUAUGUUCUCAUUGAUUAUAGUGGAAUACUCCGUCGUCUCCAAACUGGAUGUAGGCAUUGCCGAACCAAUAUAAAUCUUGGUGUUCUUGUUGAUAGUGGUUUUAUUUUGUUCUGUUUUACUUAUUCACGUACAGUCGAAUGCCGCUUCCGCACAACAAUUAGUGACAGGAAUCAAAUCCAUGAAGCAUAUAACUUGUAACCACUAGUUAGUGACCUUAUCGCUGCACUUUCCGAGACCCCUAAUUCCAUUUAAGGAGACUGUAUACUACAUUCACAAUUUUAAGGAACGCCACGGAGGGAUCCUUUUCAGGUUUGCUAGCUAGCUACUGAUACCGAAUUUGUUUCAGUGAAGUACAAAUUAAGAAAUAGUUGUUUGCUAUAGUUCCUCAUUUUCAAUAUCUCUGCGAUAUGAGUCCAUUCUUUACCUCUUUUUUUCUUUGUUAUUUAUGUUGUGCGACAUUUAGGAGCUACACAGGUCCAUGGGAAGUCUUCCAAAAAGUAAGGAACUAUGCCAUCGCUCAAGGAAGUUGCUUUAGAUAGUCUUCCAUCGGCUUGAGCGUACCGGAAUAUACCAUUGUCUUGUAUGUAGCCUUUUGGAGUACAGAAACUUAAUCUUCAGUCACUACGAGAAAUCUAUAUAACAUUGGUAAAAUUGAAUUGGCUAAUAGAACAAUUGCUUGUCAAAAGUGUCAUAAAUGUUGUACAUCUGUAUAAUGCAUUACUAACAAGAUAUGCAGGAGGUUGUCUAGUAGUUUAAGGAAGAAGAAACUCACAGAAACUCAAAGGGGUGCAAAUUGAAUACCGAACAACCUUAAAGCCGUUUGUUGAACGGGAUAGGCUUGGCUUCAACUAACUGUAGGAACUGGUUUGGAUAGGCUUGGCUCGGCCUCAUUUAAGGCCCACAUUUUAAAAUGGCUUACAUAAGUCAUGUUAGUGAAUGCAUAAUGCUAAUUAAUCCAGAUCUUAAUUAAUCUUAUGUUUGGUUCAAGCUAGGAUUGAUAUUAAGAUCCGUUCUCAAAGUCACCUAGUGACCAAGGAUUCAUGGUCACCAACCAUUGGAUUUAACAUCAAAGGUUGAGAUUAAAACAUUAAAAUCACAUCCAAUUAUUUUUCACCUUGACAUCACGUUAACAAGGAUAAGAGACCAUUCAUUCUUUAGACACCUAGUGACCAAAAGAACAUUGUGUCAAUCAAACCCCUACUACCCAAACUCAGAAAAGCUGUGUCAAUCAAACCCCUACUACCCAAACUCAGAAAAUCACCGCUUGGUAGAAAAAAUCCAAAUUUUGAUACAAUGGAAGGCCAAGUGACUCAGAACGUCCUUCCAAAAAAUUAUCCAAAACUCAAAUUUGAUCACGUUUUGCUCCAGAUGAAGCUUGCAGAACAAUUCAAAGUAUCAAAAUUCUUUAAAAAGAAUAACCAAAAUAUACUAAGAAUAAGAUUAAAUACAUAAUAUAAAAUCUACUGAUGACGGCAUAACUUCCUUGUUAAAACUUUGAAUGAUAUACAUAAUGCUCCAUGAAGUUUUAUCUUCAAAUACAAUCUUCAAUCGCCAAUGCUCCCUUACAAAUACCAUUACCUUACCAGUACGACUUAAAAUGCUUUCGAACUCGACACAAUACAAUAAUACAUCAAAGACAUGUACAAGAAGGCAGAACAUCCAUCUCAAUGAUAGGCAACAAAAGCAGUAAUCCUAAUUAACAUUACUUAACUAUAAUAGUUUUACCAUACAGUCAGAAGACUAUGAACCUUUUCACCUUACGGUCAACUCCAUUUACAAUACGCGUUCAUGAAGAAAAUUUACAUUCAUUCGUCAUCGUUGUUACCGACCUAAUCUCAGUGGUCGGUUGACUCGGUUUCUCUCCUUUAAAAACUUAAUUAAUAAGUGAAUGACACCGUCACAAAAAAAAUAUGACUCUUGAUUUCAAGGUGUCAAAGUUUCAGAGCAUUACAUCACCUUGUCGACCAAAACUUGCAUGCUUUACAAGUUUCAUUCUUAACUGUUUAAACAAACCUAACAGUCAAACCCUACUCCCUACUAUGCACGGAUACGGCGGUUCUGUCACGUAUUGCGUAUCAAAUACAUGAAUAGAUACAGUACGUUUUAAUACGGUCAGUUACGUAUUGAAUAUGCAACUAGAUUGACAAUACGGCAUUUAAAAGAUGAAUACAAGUAUUUGACAGUUUAAAUACGGGAAUCCGAUGGUUUGCGGAUAUCCCCGUCAUGGCCUUUGACUGGAUCUGGUGGAAGAAGGCUGAUAGGUACAAGGCAGCUAGGGCUACGGUCUUGUUUCUGAGCAAGUCAUCACUGGUAAAUAUGAGGUCUUAGAUUCGAUUCUCAUUAAAAACGAAUAUCAAUCAUAUUAUUAUGACUACUUUUGAGAUUUAUCCCACAUUUUUAGUGUAAUUUAAUUUUAAAAAUUUAAUUUAUUCUGAUGUCGUAUCUCGUGUAUCUGUCCAUGCAUCGUAGCGGUUAGCCUACUUCUCGUCUCUCUCCCUUUCAAAAUCCAAACCAUUCCUUCGCAGCUAAGCUUUCAUCUGAUCGUUGACCGAAAAAAAAAACAGAAGCUUUCUUCUGAUUCUUUGUUAAUUCUUCCCUAUAAAAUCCCCAACGAUCUUACGAAUUCAAAACACAAACAUUCAAAAGAUGGCGAAUGAGAUAUGGAUCGUUCCAUUUUUUGGGCAGGGACAUCUCUUCCCGCUAGUGGAGCUCUGCAAACAAAUAGCCUCCCGAGACUUCAAAUCCGUUUUCGUUAUUUCUUCCAACUUCUCCUCUUCCAUCCCCUCUUCCCUCCGCCAGCACCCGCUUGUCCAAAUCGCCGAAAUCCCCGAAUCGAGCCCAUCGUCUGAUCCAUCAACGCCGCCUCAGCCAACUCCUCAGCCACUCCACCGCCACCACGAUCAGGACAACCAGAUAGCUAACGGUCUUGAGAAACUCCUUUCGACCCGAUGCCAGAGUUCGGAUUCUGCGCUGCCCGUAUGUGCCGUGCUUGACGUCAUGAUGGGCUGGACUGCCGAAGUUUUUAAGAAAUUUGAAAUUCCAACCGUAGCUUUCUUCACCUCUGGUGCUUGCUCUGCCGCCAUGGAGUAUGCCAUGUGGAAGGCUCGGCCCUUGGAUAUCAAAUCCGACGAGACCCGUUUGCUCCCCGGGUUACCCGAGGAAAUGGCUCUCACUCUAUCUGAUGUUAAACGACAGUCUCGCGGACCACCGCCACACGGUCAUGGUGGCGGCCCACCAACAGGGCCAGGCACAGGUUUUCCUCCGCCACCCGGUCAUGGUGGCGGCUCACAAACAGGGCCAGGAGCAGGUUUUCCUCCGCCACCGAGCCAAGGUGUAGGUGGCUUUCCUCCAUUUGGCCCAAAUGCAGGUAUGCCUCUGCCGGGCCAAGAUGCAGUUGGUUUUCCUCCAUUUGGAUCGGGGCACGGUAUGCCUCCACCCGACCCGCCUCUUAAUGGACCUGGCCCGGGAAGAAGGGGCCAUCCGCAGCCAGGAGGUAAACCCCGUGGACAGAAGAUGCUGACCGAUCUAUUGCGUUGAUGAUCAAUACGUGUGAUGAUCUGGAGCGUCCAUUCCUUAAGUACAUUGCGGAUCAAAUUGGAAAACCGGUCUGGGGAGUUGGCCCGCUUUUGCCCGAACAAUACUGGAAAUCGGCCGGUUCAAUUCUCCACGACCGCGAGUUCCGAAACAGCACCCGACGGUCAAACAUCACCGAAGACGAGGUGGUCGAGUGGCUAGACUCGAAGUCGUCCGGAUCAGUACUCUAUGUGUCAUUUGGCAGCACGGUAGCACCUACAGUGGAGGAGUACAAAGUACCGGCAGAGGCAUUGGAUAUCAUCCACCCAGCCCUUCAUAUGGGUGGUCCAAUCCGGUUCGGGUAGACCGCCGGGUCCUCCGCGGGGCGGUUCAGACAGACCGCAAGGUCUCUCGGGGCCGGUUCGGAAGGCGAAGAAGGAUACUAUCCACACGGAAUGGAGGCUCGAGUGGGGAAAAGAGGUUUGAUAAUACACGGAUGGGCCCCACAGCUGCUGAUCCUAAGCCAUCCAUCAACGGGUGGAUUUUUAUCACACUGUGGAUGGAAUUCAACAGUGGAGGCAAUCGGGCGUGGGGUCCCGAUCCUAGCGUGGCCAAUCAGAGGGGAUCCAACACCAUGAUGCCAAAUUUGGUGGCGAGCUUUCUGAAAGUAGGGUAUCAUAUCCCUAUUCCUCCUGACGAGAAAAUAUUAAUUAAGAAGGAAGAUAUAGUGAAGGGAAUCGAGAUGCUGAUGAGUGACGAAGGACAUGAAACGACGAGCUUUGGAGCUGAGUGAGAAAUUUGAGCAUGGAUUUCCAACAAGUUCGGUUGCUGCUUUGGAUGCUUUUAGAGAUUUUGUUGCCCAAAAGCCAAAAGCUGCUUCUUUGUGAUCAGCUUUUUUCUUGUUUGAUAGUUUGUUUGAUUUUUCACUUUUCUUCAGUGUAUCAAUGAUCAAUGUAUAAUGAUGUGUGUAAUUUUACUACACAUGUCACACUUUUUACUACAAUUUGGAAUGUUAUGUGUUUGUUUACAUCAGAUAUGAUCAACCUUGAAAUCACCGAGUAUUUAUUACAUGUUGAAGCAUUCCAUUGAAGGAAGUGGAUACACCAAUCCCAUUUCCUACUUCACUCAACACCACAUGCCCAGUGAACUACCCUCAACACGCAUGCGACAACUAUCUAUAAGAUCCUCAUGUAAAAAGGGAUUUGUAUAAAAUAAAACAAAAUUGGUAAUACCACAUUUUUCAUAGCACGUUGUACCAUCUUUCUAAUAGAGAUGAGAUCUGCAUGUGUUGGCGGGCUCUAUCUCUGUUAGAGAUAGUACAUAUAAAGAAAUAUCUUCACAUGCAAGAUGAAGAAAUGUCUUAUAAAAAACAUUUAAAGAAAGAAGAAAAUUUGAACUAGUUGUGCCUUAAUUCAUUUCAUGGUCUUUUUAUUGUUGGAACGUAUUUUAUUUGGCACCAAACACUCUACAAUUAAGCAAUAAAUAAACCAAACUGUCCAGGACACAUAUUUUUAUGAAUUACUUGAAGUCUUCUUAUUCAUCAUCUUUCCAAAGUUCUUAUUUUAACAAGGCCCAAAUAUGAAAGAUAAGGGUAGUGGUGGUGACUAGACACCGCAAACUGGUCGUGAUUGUCAUGUUCAUGUUAUUUUCGUGUUAUACCGGUAUUUUAACAGGCAACCUGAUAAAGAUUUCACUAGUUAACGGGUUGAUCUUAAACUUUGGAUUUACCAGUCAAAUUCACAGAUCGUGCAAAAAAAUAAUCAUAUCACUCAGUCGGCAAUAUUGCUUUACAAAUGGCGCUGUGACACAAUAUUGACAAUCUAAUAACGGACCAAAUUCCAAUUUCCUAACACUAUGUUUGGAUGAAGAAAUUUAAGAUUACUAAGGAAUUUUAAAAUGACGGAAACUAAAAUAAAGGGAUUUUAUUUUCUAGAAUUUGUGAAUUUUGUUGUUUGGUUAACUUAAAAGAACAAUGAAAUUGAAAACGGAAUUUGUUAAUUUUAAACUCCCAAUCAUAGAAAUUAGGAAAUGACACCUAUUUACAUGGAAUUUAAGCUUGGAAAUUAGAGAUCCCAAAUUCCAAGUUUUUUUUUCAUGCGAAAAUUCUAAAUUUCUAUGUUAUUAAUCCAAACAAGGGAAUUGGUGCAUAUCAAUUUAUAAAUUCUGACUUUUAUCCGAAUUCCAAGUUUAUUUUCCUCAUCCAAACAUAGUGUAAAUCUUCAUUUACUACCAUGAAACUGAUGAAGGGCAGGUCCUGAGAUUUAGAGAUCAUGUGCCAUUUUUUAAAGUGAAACCUUUUCAUGAUCUAAGAUAACCAUGCUAAAGACAACAUUUACCUUAAAAUGGUCGAUCAGUGUCUUAACACUUACGGUACCUGACUAUGUUCCUGACACACUAAAAAGUCUCCCCAAACUGGUGUUCAUGGUUGGAGUAAAAUAAAAGAGCAUGGAUGAGAAAUGCCAAAUGUUAGGCCAGACUUAAGAUUUUCUAGCAAAAACCAAACUCUUUCAACGGCGGUCCGGGGAAUGAGUAAAAUUUGCCAAAUAAGCAGAUCGUCUCUGGUUAGGUUGCCCCAAUUGUGUUCUCUUACUGAAUUUUUGGCAUCAAUGUACCUCAAAUUCAUUCACCAGGAUCCUUUCGUCUGUUUAAACUUGCAACAAAGCUAGUCAAGAAGUCGCAUAUCUUCGAUGCAUAACACCAUAAGUGGCUAUGUCAACGGUUAACACCAUAAGUGGCUAUGUCAACGGUUAACACCAUAAGUAGCUAUGUCAAUCGUUAUGUCAAGCCAUACGUGUUAGAACACGAAAAAAGGGCUCUAUGCGGUCCCCAUUUUGUAUAACGUCUCACAAAGGCGUACUAAGAUGGGUACCCGCCAUAAAACCAGGUUUUACCAAUACCAAUCACUCAAACACCACCUAAAACUCACGACAAAAUACGCAACAGUCCUGAAAGGCUCGAAACAGAAACAAAAACGCUUACCUUGUUCUGUACGUAUUAUAAAACUCUUGUCACAAUUUUAUGCAAAAAAAAUUGCACUUGAAUCAGAUGACCAUUCCUGAAGUGAGAUAUGGCAAUGAAAUCAGGAGGCAUUAUAUGCGUAUCUGAUGAACAAAUGAUUUUGUAUGGAAGAACUGAGCGGUUAAUUUGUCUGUCUGUCGGUCAUGAUGGAUCCGGUUCCAGCUUUGGUACAAUGGCGGAUUUGAGAUCUAUAUGAGAAACACGAACGGCACCAAUUAGCCUCUCUGGCAAUUCAUCUGUACUGUUUGCCUGCAGGUAACCAGUUCAUAGUCAGUAUACAACAUAAUAUUUUGCUAACGUGAGCUUGCAAGCAUUAAAUCAAGCAAUGAAAUAGCGAGAAGCUAGUGUCUUAGUGAUAAACUAAGCAUCGCAGAGAGAUAAAAUCCAUUGGAAUCGUUUAAAAUGAGGCUGACAUGGCCUGUGCGAAUACUCAUAAACAAGAAAAACUAGGCGAAACUGGCCUUUCUACCUUUUAAGUGCCCAUUGCCAGAAAUGAGACCUUAUCAAAGGCAACACAGGAUACCCAACACGUGACAAUAAACGUGGAUCAUUAUGUUAUUGGUAACAAACACAAACAGAAACUGGUAAAAAUUUUACUGUAAUCUUCAGAGUCUUGCAAAUUAUAUCAUAUUCGAGACAUGUUCCAACAAAUUACAUCUAUUUUAUGAUUCAAUUUAAUCAAAGUCUGACAUAGGUAGGUUGAGCUAGGGGUAAAUGACAUUUAUUGUAUCUGUAGUUUCGCUAGAUAUCCAUUUCAGUCCAUGUACUCUCAAGUUUAGCAAUUAAAAGAAUGCAGUUUCGUUUGCUUGAACUUGUAAUCAACUUCAAUCCGUUAAAUCAAUCAAAUGGGAGGAUGAAUAUAUGAACUUACAAACGUGCAAAGAGAAAAUACACAUUUUGGGUAGUCUGGAAACCAUGUGUACACAUGCUACGCACGUUAUCCUUCCAUCCAGACAUUUAAUAGAUUUGUCAGAACGGUUUUGACAGAUUUUAACAGAUUAUAUUCCUUAGUUUCCAGAAAUUAAAACUACAGGAACUAUAAACUUUAGUUGGGGCUCCUGAUAAAUGCGAGUUUCUGAGUUAUAGAAUAGCAUAUAUGCAAUUUCGAUUCCCAGAAAAUGCAAUAAGUACUAUCUGAAGCUUUGAAACUUUAAAAGCUAGCAACAUUCUCAAAAGUUAAUAGCGAGCUAAAAGAAAUUAGCAAACAAAUCGUUGCAAGAGGUACCAAACCCAACUGAAAGAAAAAAAGAAAAAGUAAUUUAUAUUUAAGCGCUAGAAUAAAUCUAAAACCCCCAUAAUUAAUUGCAUGCAUACUGCCAGGACAUAUCUGAACCAGAUCUACCAACCCAAGUUAUAUUUGACGCUGAAAAAUUAUUCAAUAAUAUUAAUUGCCUAAACUACUAUUAUUUCAAUCUGAACUACAUAAACUAGGGGCUAGGCCUCAUUUAUUAUUCAAUCGAUCACUCAUUCACUAGUUCAAAUGUAUUGCUGAACAUGCCUUUGAUGAACAGUACAGUAUUCCAUGGUCUAUGAUAAAAUAUUUUACGAGAAGCAUACCUGUACAAGGAAAGCCAUGUCAACCACCAAUGAGGUAAUUACGCCAAUUACCAGCCCCAAAACCCCAUUAGCAACAGUAGAUGAACCAAUAUCCACAUCAAUCUGCAGAAUAAUAAACCAAAUUACGUAUUUAUACUUAAAAGAACCUUGCCAACCACAAGACCCAAUAAGUUAAUAAAAAUGCAAAAAAUAUCUGGCAAGAUUAUAUUACUUCUAAGUACUUAGGACCACGGAUAUAGUUGCAAUCAACAGCUUUUCCCAACAAACAAGGAGUGCUUCCAACACUCUGGCGGACAAUCCAUGAACCCUGCAUGGUUCCAUAAAUAAUGUUAAUAAUAUACAUCCAUAAAAGAACCUCUUUAUAUGGUACAAAAAGAUAGAAGAGAAGAAGAACAAAAAUAAAAUAAAAAAGAAGGAAGAAGUGUGGUGAGAAACACAAAAAAUCAACACUGUUACAAGGAUGAAGGGAAAAGAAAUUUCAUAUCAGUAACCCUGCUAAGAUUUUAUUAGCUGAAAGUGUAUGCUAAUAUGACACUAUCAAUUGACAUAUUGGGUAUCUUAUUCUUAAUACAAAUCAAGGAUGAAAAUUGUUGUGAAUAUUGCGUUUAAGAAUGGGAAAAGUAGAACAAACUCGAGAAAUCGAAAACAAAAUAACCAAGAUAAAUACACCAAGAAUUAACGUGGUUCGGCUAUAUGUGCCUAAGUCCACGGGACAGCAUCAACAAUCUUUCACUACACCAAUAAUGAGUACAACCAAUAAUCUUGCCAAGUCUCUAAAAUUAAGUACUUGGCGAUAAACUUGAAAGAAAAAGAACAAGAAAUACACUCUUUAUCUCUUUUCUUUUCUCCCACACACACUUUUCCCUGACAAUAUUCUCUCACUCUAAUCCCUUGAGUGGUAUACAAAAUAUUGUUUUGCUCCCAUUCGAAACUAGUACAAUAGCCCCCCUUAUAUAGAAGGUCUUCUUCAAUUAGGUAAACAACUUCAAUUGGGGAAAAACUUCUAAUUGGAAAACCAACUCAAAUUGUUUGGGAAAACAACUAAAUCCUCUAAGUCUAUAAUUUCUAAUAGACUUGGGACAACUCAUCAUGGGUUGGAAAAACCCAACAAAAAUAACAAGGUCGGGUGAAACCAUUCAAACCCUAACGUAAGUGAGUCGUGACUCGUGACUUGUGACCACCUAAUCCCUUCCUAACUAUUUCCCAACUAGACAUUCCCACCUGCAACCCUUUUGACACCCUUCAAGAGUAAGUUGGCAUUACUAAUGAUCUUCAACCUACAUUAGUUCCCUGAUAAGUCUUUUGUGAAGCUCAAGGACUAGCCUAAUCAUUACCAUAUUGCUCAGGUAUUGAACUAAUUUGAUUCACAAAGAGCAUACUCUCUUGAGCUCAAGAACUAGCCUAAUCAUCACAGGUCGUUCUAAAAUGGAAACUCACUGGUCCUUGUUUCCUUGUUGCAACAGGAUUCAGGGAUAGUACUCAGGCAGCUGUUUGUUUCUGUUUCCUUAGCUGCAUGUGGUAGUGUACAAGCACUUUUCUUAUAUGUGUUCUUGUGUUUUGCUGUCUUUUCAGAUCUAAGAUGAGGUUUAGCCUAAGUAUACGAUUUCCCAUACUGUGGCUGUUGUCUACUUUGUUUUGCUCCUCUUUAUUCGUUGUACAGAAAUCCUUGUUAAGAUUUUGUUUGUUCUUUUGUUGUUUCCCCUUGGUGCUGUGUUGGCCUUCUUUUCUACCCAGGGAGUAUGUGUCCCUUGUGUUUUUGUUCUGUAGUGAACCAGGAAUGAUACGGUACAGAUAUAUCAUCCAAAUUAUCUCCGAUUUCUAUGCCCCAAAAAUUCCGAAAUAUCGCAGCAUUAUGAACAGAUAUACUUGUUUUUGUAACCUUAUCCUUCAAGAAAUUAUUUAUAUGUAUAAAUUCUGCUUUAUUUAUAUGUAUAAAUAGUACACAAGCACAUUUUUAAGUAAAGGAAUCUCCUAAAAGUUGAUCAAUACUAUGAUUCAUAUAAAACUCAUGAGCCAAAAUUCAAAAUGGUGGUCAGACAACAACAGUCCUGAAAUUUGAUAUGAGCAUUUAUUUUUUUCAUAUAUAAAGAAACUGAUAUUAAUACCUUUUUAACAGACGGAAUAAGCUUCAGUCUGCUUGUACGAAAUUCAUCAUCACCAUCAACAAACCGUUGCAAGAGGGAUCCAGGUACUAAUUCCUUUGUUACAAAAUAAAAUACCAUACUGUAAUGUGUUGAUGCUGGGACCUGUAAGAGUAUAGAUUUUUGUCACUUCCUAGAUUCUCAAAAAUCAUUUCUAGAUCUGAACCAGUUGGAAUAAAGCAACUUACUUGCAAAUUAACAAUUAGAGAGAAAAGCCCUUUUUCUGAGGCAACCUACAGAAAUUUACAAACAAGACUCAGAUGUUAUUAACAACAAAAUAAUAGAUAAGGAAUAUCAUCCAAGUCCAGACAAUGCCCUAAUAUAGGUAACUCAAGUGGCAAUACAAGACAAAAACAACCCAACUGUAUUAUAUGACCUUCAGUGAAAUUUCAAUAUUUUAACACCAAAAUGGAAUAUCUGCUAAUGCUCUAUAAUGAUUACUGAUUAGAGUGUAGUUCAAUUGUUGAAUCAACCCAAGAAGGAAUGGAGCUUCUAAUACAUACCUGUGCUGCACAUCCCUGACGCCGAGCAACAUGGUCCAUUCUUUUUGUGUCUUUAAACCAAUCAACAGCAACAAGAUCCAUUAAAUGCUUCCCUGCAGGAAUCUUCAGAGAGACAUGGCCAACAAUGUUAUCAGAGAAAGCCUAAAAGUCAUUAUCAAUAAAUGAUGAUCCACAAAAAUAAGAAACUACAUAGGAAUGGGCCAACAUAAGAGAACCUUUGACUUAUCAUAACAAAAAUGCUUGCUGCGAACUCUGAAGUUGCACCCAUCAGAAACAUUCCAGCAAUCACGAGCAUUAUCAUGGUCAUCACGCCGUAGGUUACCCGAAAAACAGGAUAAAUCAAUUUGAUCAGCUGGUUCUUCUUCUACGGCUAUCAUGACAAACAUAGUGAUAAGGUGUUAAACCCAAAUACUCAAACGAGGAUCAUAGUUUAGAAUGAAACAGAAAAAGUAAUUGUAUACCUGUCUUCUUCAUAUCGUUCUCAAGACCAUUUUGGUAUGCCUGAAAGUAUUAAUAAAGAAAAUAAUAACUCCAAUAAAUAACUCAUAUCUAAAAAGAAUAUGCGGAAAGAAAAAGAGCACUAGUCUGAAUCACACCUCUUGUUCAGCCUCAGCAAUUUGAAAUUCUUCAUCUUCGUCCGAGUAUUCAUCCAUCAUCACAGAAUUUCUGUUUGCGGAAUUAACAGAAAAAUCAUGCAACUUUUGCCCCUUACGUGAAGAAACAGAAGCCGAGGACAUAUUGACCAUAACGGGGAUUCUUGGAGGAGCAUUCCUUUCAUCUGUUUGGGAAAACCACUCACGUAGUCCUAUCAUAAAAGCAAAGACUCAAUUAUACAAGAGAUAGCUUCCUGUUGAUUUUGUCACUUCAGAAGGAACGAGGUUUAAGAAAAAUAGAAUCCCAACUUUAAAUUCCAUUACAAGAAAAAUAUUCUUUGACAUCUUUUAUGAAUUGUUUUUCGGCUUCCAAGCAGCUUAACUUAAGCAAUAAAAUUUCUGCUCUUUGAUGAAAGAGGAAUGGGAAUAUAGACAAAGGGUAUCUAAUUGAACAGCAAAAAUGGAAAUCAACGAGGAAAGUGAUACCAAACUGCAAUGCUCAAAACUUUGUACUUAUCACUAAGUAUUGGAAUAACACAGGACAAGAAAUUAUAACAAGUAAACAAGGAACUUACCAGCAACACUAUUCAACACCUGAAGAAGACAAUGCUGUUGAAAGGAUGGGACAUAACUCACACCCCAUCCUUUCAAAUCAAUCUGCAUCAAAUGCUGCACCUGAGUUCUAGGCCUCCCAUUUCGAGGUUUAAGAGGGGAAAUGUUGAAACCUCCACCUGGAAAAAUCAGUACGCAUCAGGUUUCUGAGAUAACUGAAAAAUUAAAACAUAAGGACAAAGAUCCCAACUAGUUCUCAUCCUUUGCACUAUAAGGCCUCUAAAUAAUGUAAAGAACUCACUCUCAAUAUGUGCCCGCACAUAUCCAGGCUGUGGACCACAGUUCUCAUGCUCCCUAGAACGAAAUAACACAACUGCACCAUGAAAAGCACCAAUUGAAAAUUUCCAUACACCAAUUAACCAGAAUUUUAAGCAUGGGGAAAAGCAUAAAAAAUACCAUAGCUCCCGUCAUCAUUUCGACGCCAAUAGCGCACAUAGCAAAGGUCACGCGGCCACACAACCCUGCAACCAAAAGGAGUCUUGAGCAACAAAACUAUAACUGCACACUGCUAAUUAGGACAUUAGUCAAGCACCUUUCAUUCUUAGUUACAACGUUCUUCAAAGUUGGUCUGAAGAGAUAAGGGGAAUCAUAAUAGAACAUGAAACACAAGUCAUUAUUCACAAAAUUUAACCUCCCGUUUGGUAUAGGAUUUAAAAAAAAAAAAAUCCAAUUUUAGAUACCGUAUAUUCCAUUUUUAAGUCAUACUUAGUGUAAAUUAAAACCACUCGUUUGAUAUAGGAUUUUAAAACCACUUUGCAUUUGAAAAACAAAUUCUGUUUUGGUAGAAUAGUUUCUAAAAAUAAGAAUCUCAAAAACAACCCUUUUUAGGAAAUGCACAAAAUAACAUCAUUUUUCAAUGUUUUCAAAAUACCUGUACCAAAAAAAAAAAAUGUUUUCAAAAUACAGAAGCACUCAUCAAUAGAAAAGUUAUUCUACAUUAUGAAAACAAUUUUCAGAACUAAAACCAAACAUAUUUUCAUAUUUAACAUAAAUAAAAAUCUGUAUACAUACUAUACAAACAGACUACUCAAAUUGUAUGAGUCUUUGAAAAUCAAGUUCAAACCAUGAACCAAACAGGCCCCCAAGUUUUCCAAAUACCCACCUAGGUUCUAAGAAACCAUCUACUCAUAGACUACUAAAUAUUAUCUCCUACUACAUUUUACUUAACAACAGAAUAUGAAGCUGCAGCCAGGAACGUGGUGAUUGAAGAAACAGGAAAUUUAAGUUAGAGAUUACAUUGGGAACCAGUCUAGCUGAAGCUUAUGGUAAAGUACUGCCGUAUGUCCAUCAACCUCCUCAACUAAGCUACCAUACUGGAAACUGCAAUCCCACCUGCAAUCAUAAAAAUAUGACAGCUGAUACUACAAACAUGUUGGCAUUGCCACAAAGGAAAAUAAGAAAAAGAAUAGAUCAAAGAUAUUAGGCAGUUAAGAAUAUAUAAUCUCACAAUGGUAAUCCUAAAGCCCUGUGUGGUUUCUCACUAAAUUGCCAACUGGUUUUAGGUUGGAUGCAUGGUAUCAAAAGAGUGUGCUCUUGAGACACAAAAGCAGCCAUCUGAAACCAUCUUUUACCCACCCAAAAAAUAAAACAUCCUAAAUCACAGGGUUAAAAUCCACAUUUCUCUACAACAUAAUUGCACUAUUUUUUCCCCCAUCAGAAGCUCAAAUAAAGCAAAUUGACCAUUUUGAAGGUAUGAUACAAUUUAUAAUCCCAUGCCUUGACCAAGGAGAACCCAAAGAUGGAUCACAAGUUCAAUUCCCUUCCAUCCUUCAUUUUAUAUGAUUAGCCUCUUGCAAUAUGUAACUCUAUACAAUACACCAACAAUGUAUUCUCUCUUUCAAUCUGAUACCAUUAGUUCAGGCCAGACAAGUUUAGAUUAAAAAACCAAAGCAGGAUUAACAUAAAAAUAGAGCAGUUCAUUCUUUUAUCGCUACAUAAAAUAAGCUAUUAUAGCAAAUCAUAAAAAAAAAAAAAAAAAAAAAAAAGGAAAAUUGUAAAAGGAAAACACCUACUCAAACCGUGUUCUGUCCAUGCUCAUCACAAGCUCAAAAAUUUCUUCACAAGUAGCCUCCACCACUCCAACAGCCUUCAUGGCUCUACUGCAACUCCUUGGCUGCAUAUACAGAAUUAUAAAUUGCAGUUGCAACCUAAAACAAGCUGAUAGAUGGUAAAAUAUCAUAACGUACAUAGUGUAAACAAAGACAGAAUUCCAUACAAGGUAAUCUACUUCAAGAAGCUCUUCAAAAAUGCGGAGUCCUGCGCCAAAACCAGAAUAAGAAUAAAUCAUUAUGCACCAUCAAAACCAUUACCAAAUAGGGUAGAUGAUUAUUUUCCUAGAUUCCAUUUCUAGCAUAACAAACAAAGCUCUACGACAUGACAGUGGUUCACCAUUUUGGCACUGGAGAAGACGCCAAUGCUUUUUGGAAAAUGCUUGGUUGUUGUUACUCUGGUUUGUCAGAUCUGAAUCUCUCGUCCAGUCUAAUAUUGUUUCUGGAGGACCUGCAGUCAUCAAAACUGUGAGCUUCAGGAAAAGAUACCACCAAUCUAUCCAAAACUCAAUGAUGGAAAGAUAUCAGUUUAGACCAUUUCCAAUUGUUGUUCUCCUCAUCAAAUUAGGAUGAGCAUCAUCUUCAUCUUCCUGGGCGCUAAAUCUGCAACGCAUUAAGAAAAAAACAGAUUAAGAUAAUAUAGUUGCAUCCACAGCCGGGGGCCAAUAUGACAAGCACAUCAAAUUCCCAAGAAUAGGUCCAACUAUCAAUUUUUCUUUCUGCUUUACUUCCUUUUUCCUUUUCCUUUUUUCUUAUGACAUUAAAGGGACAUGCACUUCUAAAAAAAUGGCUUUGGACAUUUCCUAGGUUAAGGGAGUCUUUUUUACAUGUAGUAAAGGAGUGAAUAUGAAAACCAUGAUGAGAAUGGUUGAGAUGAAAAAUUGGCAACACAAGUUUAGAGUUUCAAAACCAUCUCUAUUAGUUUUUUUAUUUCACUUUUUAUGAUAGAGAUAGAAGGGAAAUACAAAAGGGAAAUUAGGGAUGAGGACGGGUGGAUCAAGGAUGGUGGUAGAGAUGUAGAAACAAACAGUAUGAGGAAAACAUAAAUGAAAACUAAAGACCAAAGCCCAAAAACUAUAUUGAAUUGUUUUCACGUUCAAGAGUUGUUUUCAUGGAUGCUUUUUUUUUUCUUCCUCCCUCUCUCGCUCUCUCCUAUCACCUUUCUUCAUCCCUCUCUCCCAUUACCUCAUAUCUCCACAGAAUGUCAACCAAAAACGAAAUGAUUAUCAAACGGGUCCGUAGUUGUUCCAGUUGUUCCAAACAUUUAGACUAGCAAUAAUUUAAACCAUUCCAUUCUAGAAUAAUUACGGAAUUGAAUGUGAUAGCAUUUCCAUUCCACCAUUCCAGUUAAACAAAAUAGGUCUUAUUAUUGACGGAGGCUGGAAUGAAUUGGGUAGUACCAUAAAGGUGCUACUCAUUGCUUAGUAAAAGUAAUGUUGGAUAUGGUAAAGGAAACAGGGCCAAAGAAUUGUGAGGAUGCUGCCGGCUCAGAUUAAACCCUAACUCUGGGUAACAGGAGGUUUUGGUCUUUACUUUGGGGUUCUAUAACGUCAGAGUUCAGAGACAUUUCUCUUUCUUUUACUCUGCUACAUUGGAAGGCAGCUAUAAAUUGUCUCUUUAUCAAAAACAUAUAUAUAAAAUUUUAUUUCUAUAAUUUUGUUUGGGAGCUAUAGCUUUUGGUUAGUUUCCUUAUAGCAAUUGAUCUUUGGUGGACAUCUUGUUCACUUUUUGUACUUUUUUUCUCUUGGUAAAAAUCUCUUUUUGAAAAAAUAAAUAAAUAAAGGGACAUGCCAAUGCUCAUGAAGCACAAAGAAAGGAGAAAUGACAAAAGAUCCAAUGGCCAUCAGCAUACAAUGUCUGGUCGUAUUCCAUAAGUUAUAGUACUUACUGACUUUCAUGGUCGGAUGAGGAAGCAGUCCUCCCAUUAUCCAUGCCAGAUUUGUAUUCGAAAGAAAUAUAUUUGUUACCAUUUGUAACUUGUGAACCUUGAUGCUGCACACAGAUCAAUAUGCAAUUAUUCCUGUAUUCAUUAGCCCAUGAGAAAUCGGGAGGAAACUUAAUUGUCUCACUAGCAUGAGGUCCAAAAGUAACUACCUGAUCAAUGACAUACUCUAUUUUAUCCUUCCAUACUAGUGCCUCCUGGAUGUUAAAUGCUGCCAUCUGGAGCAGGACAGUACCCAAAUGAAUAAGUACUCGCAACAAAAUUUAAGCAGUAUGACUUUCAGAACUCAGGAUUCAAAACAAUUAACAGAAGAAAUGCACAUACGUGUGUAUAGGUGAAUGUCAGGAGUUCAGAGCAAAACAGUUAUGUAUAAAUAAGAGAACACCACAACAACCAACUACAAAAGGCUACACUUAAAAAUAAAAUAGAAAAAUAAUAAAUUAAAAUAAAAACCCAAGUCCAUAACCAGAAUAAACCACAGAAAGUGUUUUACUACUUUUGGCAAUUCCCAUUAAAAUAAAAGUCUCCUACUCUCAGACGUGUGCAACAGCCUUUUCUUAUUGGGCCCAUUUAUACAGCUCCUGAUAACAUAACAAAUUAGAGAGGAGAAAACUUCACACUAUGAUCAGAAGUUUAGGAAGGAAAGGACAGGAGAAAAUAGGUUUUAUCUCUAGGGAAGAGGACAAAAAAGAUAUAUCUCUCCUCUCCAUUGGAUGCUUAAGGAGAAACGGAUAGGUGUAAACCCUCCUCUUUAAUAAGAUAUAUAAUUAAAAUGACAGUAAUUUCAUGGUCACACCCCCAACCCCUGUCAAAAGAACUUUUGUUUACCUGAAAGCCCUUUCAAACAGGCCCUAUUAUAUCAGGCUCCACCCAAGCCCUUAAUAAAGUCCAAAAUCAGACAGGUCAAUGCUCCAUAAAGUAUAUGGAUAACUUUUUAAUAACGACAGCUAUCUCAUGCACAGAUACUUUAUAGCUUAAGAAUGAGUAGAAACUAUCAUUUUGCAGAAACAUAGAGAUAAAAUGCUCCUCGUAACACAAGGGUACACAAGUACCAUCUAUUAGGCCUUAUAACAAACAAGUCACUUCAAAAUGAUCCUGGCCCUAAGAUAAUCAAAUGUUAUUGACAACACCAACUAAAUUCUAUGUACCAUCAUACCAUGUGAAAUCAACAAUAAAUAGGAAUGAGUACAAAGAAAAUGAAGUUUACAGAUGUACAAUAUUUGAACUCAUUAAACUUUUUUAACCAUGCAUAUAUGAACAUAGAUGACUAAAACAACAUCAAAGGUAGUAUCUUCAUGCACUUUCAAAAUAUGAAAGCAAAAGGGCCCUCACCGUGAUUCGAAGGUAUUUCUCUUUCUUGUUGUAAACAGACAAAACAUAUACCAUCUGCACCAAAAUAAUCUCUUUCAGAAAAAAAUAUUAAAAAAAAUCCAUCAUUGGGAUGAAUAUCAAAAGCACUGUCGAACUAUCAUAAUUAGGAUGGAAUGUAAAUAAAAAAGUAGAUGUAACAGAAACACAGUUCCAAGUACAGCAAAGCCAACAUUAAGUUACAGGCAGCUAACUGAUUUUUUUCAAUAUCCAAAGGAAACUUGUAUCCAUUAAUUUUCCAAAAAAGAUUUAAAUACAACAUUCAAGCAUCAAAGAAUCAGAAAGUUAUUAAAAAAAAAAAAAAAUCUUUUCUAUUUUUUCUGGAAACAUUCUAGGUGGCACAUAAGCAUGUUCACCCAGCUGCCCCUAAAUCAUACGCAUAACCUCUAAAAAUAUUUCUUGAAGUUCUAAUUCUUUAAAGGAGUAUGAACAUAAAUAGCACUCUGAGAACACGGUAUAGUCAAUUACAGCACUCCUUUAAACAAGAUCAUCCAACAAUCACCUAAAAACACAUGAUCACAUGAUCUGAGAAUUAGAUAUUAGCUGUAUAUAAAUGUUAAGAACACUAGGAUAUAGGCAACGCUUCCACCCUUACAAAUUAAACAAGUCAUCAUUAAAGAACCAAACUGAGCUUGAAGAUCCAAAAAAUACAUGAACAAGGAAUCCCCCAAAAUCUGCAGAAAUCAACAACCAAAAUGCACACCCCAAAUAUCUUCCGCCCCAACCCCUCUGUAAUCAUCAAAGGUACUCAUAUUAAACUCCAUUCAAAUGACCCAAAAUAUUGCAAACACCAAAGACCCCUUGGAAAGCGUUGAACUGAAUACUUAACAACUCAAAGCACCACUUUGGAUAACCCAGCACAUAAUGAAUCAUUUAAACAGCUUCAACCACAAAUGUAAGGAGUGACAACAGUGAAACACAUACAUGAUCCACACUUUCCUCCCCCUCUUUACAAAAUACGCACCACAUUAAUAAAUCACCUUUUCGGAUUCAAUGUCUUUCAUCCAGACCUAUUGAUGCCUUAGGCGAUUUCUACUGACGCCAACAUAUCUACUUUAACCUCAUCAUGCAACAAUGCUACAUGUUUGCAAAUCACAUAAACAAGCCCACGGUUUCUCGUCAAUUAGUGUUCAAAAACUUCCAUCAACAAAACACACUCCCAUCCCAUCCGAGAAAUAAAUGAUGAAAACAAACAAUGCUUAGAACUUCUAACUAAAUGACAUAUUCGGUAUUAAACUAACCGACAUCAAGUAUCAAGCAUUUAAAUAUUCACAUAUAUGUAUAUACAUUUUCAAAUAUACAUGAUGUUCUUCCACAUCAACAGAUAUAUAUGCGUUUCCGUAAGUAAGAAAUGCACAGAUACAAAACAAACAAAUUGAUUAACUCACAUGCCCAUGGUGAGUCUUCAAUCCUCGAUCCUCCACUCUACAAUUUCCAUCAAUUAACAGCGUCUUGAUCGGAACCUAAUCAAAACACGCAACAAAAACACCAUUUACAGUCUUACAAAACAGUAAAAAGUUACAAUUGAGCUGAAAAUUCGUUCACCUAAAGACUCACUGAAUCAAAAAGUGAAAAAAAGUAAAUGAGAAUUUGCCUGAUUAUCCUGAGGCUUCCGCUUGUAGUAGGCCAGUAGCCGAGACUCGAGCACGAAAUACCGCAUGUGAAUAAAGGACCGGCCGAUCUUCCUCCGCCCGUAUCGUACCAUCCACCCUUCGUACACAACCUUGGACGACAUCGUUUCAAUCCAAACGCUGCCGGAGUCCGAAAUCUAAAUUUUGAAACCGAAAUUCUCACCGACUCGGAAGCUCCGAUCACAACCUUCGCUUCCAGCGAGACCACUCUUUCACUAUGUAAUCUGAUCACUCAUCGUUCGAACCAGAUUACCGAAAAAUCCAGCAAAUCUCGACCUAGUGCUCCGAAUUCCACAUUGAGAUCGAAGUUCGGUGGAAUGUCGAAUUCCUUGAGAUCUAGAGGAGAGAGAAAUGGGAGAGAGGAAGAGGAGAGAGAAACAGUUUAACAGGUGGCGGUGUUAUUCAGAAGUGGGUGAAAUGGCCGAGAGCCGACGAUGCAAAACGACGACGUAUAAGUUGGGGAGGUCAGCGAGGGCCUGUAUGAUCCCACGACAGCGAAUUUGAGAGUGCGAUUCUGACGGCCAAAAGUGGGAGAUCCCACGUAAGUAAAAAAGGCGUGUCCUCGCUAAAGCUUGCCACGUGGAAAAACGUGAUGGGAAUUUGGAGGCUGUGUGUAUUGGCGCCGGGUAAAUGCCGUGGCAAAAUUUUUAAAAGGGAUUGUGCAGUCUGUGGUUGCUUUACGAGCAUCGCGGACCGUCCGAGGAAAAUCAACUCAUAUUUUUUUGUUUUUAGUUGAUAGAAGAGUGUAGAUCACCCAAAACAAUAGAUUAUUAUAAAUAAUUUGAGCUUUAGAGACCGUCUGCAAUUAUAUUAUCAAACAAAUGAGUUACGAUCCAUUUAGAUUGGUUUUCAAAAUAAUAAAUACUAAAAAUUCAUAUCCAAUUGGCAAGGUUGUCAUUUAAAUAGUCGGAUGAUAUGUUGGUACUGCUACUAUGAGUUGUUUUAAUGUACAUUGAUUGUUCUUAGUUUCAAGACUAUUUCUCUUAUAAAUGUUGUAGAAUUUGUUCCAUUUUAGUCUUAUGUAAUGCGAUGUACAAGAUUAUUUCAAACACUUUGACAAAUAGAUAAAAGAAGGUGUUGCCUUGCAUCAUAUCUGAAUAUCAAAGUGUCUUCAUAUCGUACAGAACUGAAUAAUUCUAAACAAUGCCACAAUUGGGUUUGAGACAAUUCAUUGUUUGAAGUAGAGAAGGAAAAUGGUGCUAACCAUGUAGGAUAUUUUUAUUAUAUUUCUCCAUAAGGAGGAAUAUACAAAAUACAAGGGUUAUGUACAAGCUAAGUACUUCAUUACAUCAAGCUUCUUCUCUAUACUAUAGAAAUCACCAACGACCAACUUGCUAACUAAGCUAAUUGUGAUAGCUUUAGUGAAAAGAUCUGCUAGUUGACAUCCCAAAUGUCGAUUCCACAACCAAAAUUGAUGUUUGUCAUCCAGUUUGGCACUUAAAACUUGAUAAUUGCUUCAACCUAAACAAUUGUAUCCUCUAUAGUCAAGAUGUACAAACCCUCAACUCUUUUACCACGACCAAUUAUCUUCUGAGUUUUAAGGCCUUGAAAAUAACUAUAUAUGGGGUAGAAGUAAGUGGAACAAUGUAAGGUAUCAAGUAGUUUUCCUACCAAUAGAACUUUGAACUUAAUAUAAAGGACAACUAGAGCAUGGACCAAUGAUAAGGUCGGAGUAAGAGAGAUGGUGCCUUCACCUUUAUCAGGUGACAGUCUCCAUUUGCACUAGUAAUAUACAAAUCAUGCACAUAAUCACAUAAUUCAUAAAACAUUCUAGGGUCACCAGUUAUAUGAUCAUUGGCCGCUGUAUCAAUUAUCCACUUCUUUGUUCCAAUAAGAUGUAUAACAACAAUAUGAUUAUAUUGAACCAUUUAGUCAAAACACGAACAAUAAAGGCACAAAAAUAUGCAAUGAAAUUGAAACAAUUCACCACAAAUACCCUUCCCAACACUAUAGUAAAAUAAAAACCUAAGAAUGAUUAAAUACUAUUAAUAAAUCCAUUUUUAAGACAAUGUCUUAGUACUUUGACAAAAAAAAAUUAUCAUAAUCACACGUAUUAGAGUAUUCUACCUGCAUUUUACUUGAACGUAGAGAUCCUUGUUGUUCAUUCAUUUGUCUAUAUGAGUACGUAGUUUAAUCUCAAUAAUACCAUGGACAUUCACAAAUAUGAGGAUGCCUUUAAUUAGCAUCUAAGAUUAAGGACUUGUUCGGGCAAAGAUUUCUUUGGAGAAGGUUCCUCGGACCUCAACAUAGCUCCCCAAAGGAUUGGCACUUUGAAUGUGUAGUCGGGCUCUUGCUUGUCGAUGUGCUACAAGAAGAGAACAAAGUUAGUUCUAAAAAGUGCCUUUGUGGGGCCUUAGCUGUAGGCCUUAAGACUCGCAAUCAAAACUAACUAAGUGUUAGGCGCGCCGCUGCUAUCUUAGUAUAGCAGAUGUAGAAUAAGUGUGUUUUAAGUUGGUUACUUACGCCCCAAGUUACUUUAAACUUCUUGUUAUCAAAGGAUUGUCGUGGAUGGGUUAAGUCCACAUUAAGUUCUUUUUCUUGCAUUGUAAACAAAGACUUUUAGUUCAAAAUCUUGUAUGUUCAAAUAGAGGGAGUCCAAAGCCCUUUAAGUCAUUUGUUUGAUCCUAGAUUUCUUUUAAUGAAAAACAUAUUGAUCAAACUAACCAGAUCCAAAUGCGAAUAAGACUCUUGAAAUAGAAAAACAAGUGGAAAUGACUUGAAUACAUGUUGGAUAAUACAUUAAGCAAUAGAUCUACUAAUUUAGAAAACAAACAAAGAGCUUUAGGCAAGAUUUCACCUUGUCUGGCAAGGUUGAACUUUUUGCAGUCACUACUCUUUGUAUUUACAGGGUUUAUAUGCUAAAAAUGGAUGGAUGGUAAACAAGUUUACACAAAGGAAUUGAUACUACACCAUUGAGGGAGGUAGCAGAGCUUUUAUACUAAACAAGAGAUAGCUUUUUCAGAGAACUAUCGCUAAGAAUGACUGAAUCUGGGUUGAUUUCAGUUUUUAGAUGCAAAUCUGGCUUAAGAGCAAAGUUUGUAUGUUUGUUUGCUUGAUUGCUUGAGUGUCCUUGUCUCUGGGGCCUCUUCUUCCUUUUAUAGACAAAUUAGCCCAACUGCAGUAACUUUUGCUUUUGCCCGAAUGCAUAUGGAGGGUAGUGAGUCAUCAACUUUUUACUUGUAAUGCCACUGGAAAGUGUUCUUUGGCUGGUAGUAGGUUAGUCUCUAUCACUUGUCAUUUUAAUGGUAAACAUGUGGCUUGUAUCUUGGCUGAGAAACUUUCAAUUUUCCUCAUGGCUCGAUGGUGGGCUUCAGGCAAGUCCCCUUUUAAUUGGCAUCCUUGGACUAUCCUUCAUUUAAGCCCAAUGUUCAAAUAUUAACCAAAACAGUGCCCCAUUUAAUCAUUGUUGAGUCUGUAAAUCGAGGUGUUAAUAAUGAUUAAACAACCAUCGCAUGCCUUCACUUGGGACUUGCGCCAUUUAAGACAGUCGUUGUUUAACAAAGCCUUUACACUAACCCAUGAAUUCCAACGUUAAGUAACUGUGACUAUAUAAUCCUCAAUUAAACACUUUGGCCAAAUAACUUAACACUUCCAAACCUUCUAAUUUCCAAACUUCCCAGAAUUCUCUGAAGGAUGAUUUUGUGAAAACAUGUUCAUUUGAAUAACAUCUAUAGCAUGCAUUUAACGAUUAAAAGGCGGAAUCAUGCUUGCAUGCAUUCAAAAACAAAACAUUACCCAUGAAAUUCAAAGCCUAGUAGAUUGGUGAACCAAGACUCAACUCAAAUCAAAGUGAGUUGAGAAAUUUAUACAUUUGUAGAUUCUUCUUUGCAUAAGCAAAGGCUAAUCACCCAAGGAGAGGGCCUUCAUUCCUUGCUUCUUAGAUCCAUGGAUUUGGAUGGAAGAAUAUGGUUCUCCAAGUUCCCAAAAUUGAGAAUCUCUAAGUGUCUACACCAAGUUUGGAUUGGAGAAGAAAUGAGUGACCUUGGAGGAGUAGGAUUGCUAGAUACACCCUCCAAGGGGGCCGGCCUCCUAGAGAGAAAAUGAGAGACAUGUUCUCUCCAAUUUUCUCCAAAAGAACCCAUAAUGAAUUUUAGGCUAUAAAGUUCUUUAUAUAGUCACUUCUUUAAAUGACCUAAAAAAUCAAAAAACCCUAAUUCAACACACAUGGCCGGCCACAUAAGGGAUUUGUGCUUUUGGGCCUUUGUGAAUCUUUAUUCAUUAAAUUGUCAUACAACUUAAGUCAAUGGGCUUGACGUUCAAAGCCCAUUGGGCCUUAAGGUCCAAAACUAUCCCGAGGUCUUUAACGAACUUAUUCGUUUGAUUAAUUAACAUAUUAAUUAAUCCUUGCCAUAAACAAUUAAACCAUUUAAUUAUUCUUACUCAUCUCCAUUGUUUCUUCAAUCUCCACCUUACACGAUGUACGAUCCAUUAGGUUUCUUUUAGCGAGGCAGUGGGCGAUUAGAACUCUUUCAAAUCGAUUGUGAAUUGAAACUUACUUUCAAUUCUCCCUUUAGUGAUUAUACACGUUUAGGGCUUCCACAAACCAAGAGUGACACCUAGCAGCAUAUCAUGGUUACCCAAGCUAAUCAGAAGAGGUAGAGAACAUAUUCAGUUUAAGAUUACAAAUGCAAUACGGUCUUUCUCUAAUACAAUACUCUUGACCACAUUGUUUGGUUUGAUAGUUUAUUCAUGUCUACUAUCCACUGUGAUUCGUGUGCUUAUAUGAUUACCUUGAAUGUGAUUUGGAACGACUUUCCUAAAUCUCAUUCAUACUCUGGCCAGAGAUUCUAAAUCAUAUCAUAGAGUAUUCUCCCUCAAAUGGUUUGAAGGUUAGAGAUCCCUUGUUGCGCAUUCACUUGCCUCCAUAGCUAAGUGGCUUAACCCCAACGAUGCCGUGGACACCCGCGGAUGGGGUGACUUUGACAUAAUCAAAGAUCAAGGACUUAACCACAAGACAAACGUGAUGCCUCAGGUCAAAUGACUACUUUGCAUUAUCCCAACCAUGAGUUCUCAUGUGACAUGAAUAUGAGAACUCUUCGUUGAUCGUGUUCAGUGAACUCAUUCUCUAUUGAGCACCUACGUACUUGUCUUGAUGUCACACACACCAAUGACUCGAGACUAGUCACUCUCCCUGAGAGAAUACACAGCACGUACUGAUCUUAACGGACUGUCAAUGCCCAAUUGGCAAUCCUAUGAUCAGGAACGUUUAGGAUGUAUCUACGAAAGAAUGGUCUCAUGAAUCUAACUUCUUUAGAUCGCAUUCUCCCAAUCACAUAUUCCUUGGACUUAUCGUUUAAGCAUAUAACAUUUAUAUGAGACGGCUCAAACAAUAAUCUUUGCCCUUGAUAUUAAACUAGAUUAGUUUAACAUGUGAAAUGUCCGUAGAGUAUCAUCAUAUGAUUGGUUUCAGGGCACAUUUCCAACAUUCUCAGAACCUUCAGAAUUUGUAGAAUUCCUCUUGUUUUCUCAAUUCUUGCCUCCUAAUCUCAAUUCCCUUCCAAAACCUUCCAAUGCACCCAAAACUACCCAAUCUUCUUAUGAAACUAGCGAGGGCAUCGCCACUAUGCGUCGUUUGCUCGAUGGCCUUCAUCGCCCUUGGGCUGGCCUGCAAACCUCGAUUUUCUUCGAAGAGGAAUGCGUACACUCUCUGGGACCUGCAUAGACUUCCCAAGUCCCAAUUGCCGUGGAGAACAAUAUGCCCAAGGAAAAGUGGUUCACUACUAACCCCUACUUGGCUAAGUUAGGCAUUUCGGCUUCCAAGUGGUCGAACCACCGUCGUGGUUUUCCUUUAAUGAAGGAUGAAGGCUGGGCACAGUGGAUAAAUGAGCUCAAGCCCAUCUUCAAGUAAAAAUGGAUGAACAAUGGUGUAUACGAGCUAAUAAUGCUCUUGAAGACCACCGUUAUUGCCAAGCUCGAGCUGCUGACCACAACUCUCAUCUUUUGGAACUCAGGGACAAAUACUUUUAAUUUCAGGAUAGGUCCUAUGUCCCUGACCAUCCUCGAUAUGGCCCAAGUCUUCGAGCUGAGGCCUUCGGGUUGAGUUAUGGAUGUCACCCAAGACUGGUCUCAUUUUUCCCAUUCGAUGGCAGAAAGCUCAGGUAGCUCUGCCCUCUUUCUUUAAAUUGAGUAUAACUCAUUAACCUUCAAGAGCUAUAGAAACCUCAUUUACAGGCUUCAUCCCAUUUGCUAAGAUGAGUUUUGGCCCAACCUCCUCUACUGCCAACAAAGAUCAAGAGCACAUGUAUUUUUUUAUUGUACUGGCUCAACAAGCACGUUUUCCCCAAUAAAUCCAAGGGAGUGAAGGUCGAAUGGAUCCCUCUAAUGGAAGCUCUUCACAACUUUGAUGACAUGGCAAUGGGCUUCUUCCUUCUCUUACAUCUCUACCAUCUUCUCUUAGAGAUGACUCGGGGAAAACCAUUUGAAACCAACCUCAAUUAGCCAACUUGGAUGGUCCAAUUGUGGUUGUAAUGGUACUUCCCCAAGCUUCGAGCACCCAAUCUCAAAUUUCUAGAAUGAGUGACCCCUACCUGAAUUCUAGCCGAGGCCUCACCCACCAACCAUUCCACCUUCUCUAGCCUUUACUUCUUCAGAGUCUGCAAGACUCGGGCAGAUUUAAAGUGGGGAGCUUUGGUGCUGAGGAGAUACCCUUGGUUUUUUUACCAAACUUUCCAAGAUGCCAUCGGGAAGGAUGUUAACCCCUUAUGCAAUGAGAGGUUUAUCAUCUGUAUCCAAUCGAAAGAUUUGGCAUGGGGAGUCUGCAGCGAUUGCUACGAGGGCGGGCUGAAGGUUUACCACCCAAACUUCUGUAGUAGGCAAUUAGGCUUUAGGCAAGCCAUCCUAAUCCCUUAUUUUGACUUAGUUCAUUACGGCACCUCUUAUCGCCUUCGCUUUCUUCAAGAAAUCACUUUUCAAGCUGCCCGACGUAGUCUUGAGCAUUGAGCAAGAUUGCCUGCAAGCCCAUAGCUUUAAACUUUGAGUGCACUCACUUCUUCUCUUCUUGGUGGGAAGCUAAAUGGACCAAGAAGUAUAGAGGAGAUCUCAAAGAGUCUCACGACCGCAUCUUCAAGCACCUUACUAUCAAGUCUUAUCCUAAGCCAAGUGAGCUUGAAGGUUGGAAGGAGAUAAUCCAUCAAAAGAAUCAACUUAUUCUAACAGGUAUCAUUUAAUUUUCUCGACUUGUAUUAUAUGAUACUCCAUGAAUCUGUUUUCUUCUAAUCUCCUCAUUGGUCACUUUAUACUUGCAGCCUAAGGCAACCCUGCGGAGAUGGACGUCGGGCAAGAUGAAGAUGUUGCAGACGAUUUUUUCCUCCAAGAAGUUAUGGAUGAGGUAGAAAGACAAAAUGUUGGGGCAGGCUGUCACAUCCCGGCCAGGGCCCGUUCCACCAUCGUAGCAUGAUAUUGUCCGCUUUGGGCUUACCAUUCCCUCACGGUUUUGUUUUUAGGAACUCACGAGCAACUUCCCAAUGGGUCACCCAUCCUAGGAGUGCUCUGGCCUUCUUCUCGCUUAACUUCGGAGUUCUUACGGAACUCGAAGCUAGUGAGCUUCCAAAAGGUCUGGUGCUAGGUAGGGAUAGGAAUAUACAUUUAAGGAUCACUCCCUUGGGCGAUGUGGGAUGUCACAAUCCACCCCCAUUAGGGGCUCGACGUCCUCGUCGGCACACUACGGCCAGGGUUAGGCUCUAAUACCAAAUUGUCAUAUCCCGGCCCAGGCCCCCACCAGGCCCGCUCCGUCACGCCUUGAUUCUAGGAUCGGGGUGUGUCACAUGCGGCAAUGUCUUCGAAUUAUUUGAAGAUUCAGAGGAUGAGGCCGAGCUUGUAGUGGAGCAUCGGGCAACGAGUCGAACAAGGGCAACAAUAGUGGAAACUUCAGAGUUCGAGCCCAAAGAGCAACCUCGAGCUCAACUCUUUAUACCUGGUCAACGGGCAACCCUUACAAAGAAGAGAACCAGGGCUUAGUCCUCUAAGUUUUCUAUUGCCCAUGUACUUGAGGCAAGCAAGAAAAAACAUAAGGCUUCUAGUAAGUUGUCUAUCCAUUUUGUUUAAUUGCAACCUCUCUUUAUGGGCUAACAAUUCUUUAUUCUUUGAAAUCAAGGCCGCAAGCAACUAAGAAGCCUGUAAUUGCCUCAAGGGAAGAGCAUUUAGGCGCGGAGAUACACCAAAAGGCUAAGGAUCUUCAUGAUACCACCCUGGAAGAACUUAAGGUAUGGCAUUCAUCUCAAAUUGUUCAUUUGAAGUUUUUCCUUCUCUCUCCCAUUCUUAUUUUAUUAAUUUGUUUUGCCCGACUGCUUGAAACAGGCCAUAAGGGAAGAAAGGAUCUCAUAGCCCGAGGCUUCCUCAACCUGAAUGGCAUAUGUUUCUCCUUCUCGGGCUAGAUCCUCAAAGGUAUAUCUCAUAUUCCCUCUCUUGAACUUGUAUUUUUGUCACUUUGAGAGCUUUAAUGCCUGGCUUUCAUUUUUGUAGGCCAAGGUUAAAGCAGCUGCAUCCUCAGUCGGGCAAAGCUCUACUUCCAUUCCUUUAACUUCCCCUCCCUUGGUGAUGGCUCCGACUUCCCAGUUUAACCCAUCAACUAGGGAUAUGCUACACUUUGUGGAAAACGAUAGUAAUCCGGUGAGUACCUUUAACUUGAAUCUUCCUGUUUUAAACAUCCUUUUUAUUUAUACUUAUUUUCUGUCUUGGUUUUCCUAGCCAUCCCCAAGGUAGGAGCUUCAUCAACCAGCAGCAAUAGCCUUUGGGGAACCCAUAGUAGGGCUGGGUUCGGUUAAAAAAGGUUCGAUUUUUUGCCAAAACCGAAACCGAACCGAAAUUUCAGUUCGGUUCAAAAAAAUUUCGAUUUUUUUCGGUUCGGUUUUUUUCGGUUUCAGUUUUUUUUUUGUUUGGUUUCGGUCCAGUUCCAUUUUUUUCAUUAUUAUUAUUAUUAUUUUAGAUAUGAAUAUUAGUAAACUAGCCCAAAAGAGAACCUGCCAAACUAGCCCAAUAGAUCCAACAAACAAUAAAGGCCCAAGCCAUAAAAUACAACAAAAGAAAACCUAGGCUUCUACUGCAGCACCCGUCGCUGAGCAUCCCUACUAGCACAAAUCCUCGCCACCAACUAACCGACGCCUUGCCAAUUGUAACAUCCGGCCACGAGCACCUGUCAGAACACAGCCAAACAAACAAGAUCCAAGGGUUUAAUAAAAAUAAAGAUCCAAAAACCAAAGAUCUUUACCACAUAGGGUUCCAUAAAGACAAAUCCAAGAACAACAUCGGCCAAUUUUUCUUCAAAAAUUCACAAAGCAUAGUCAACAAAUAAAUUCACAUAGCAUAGUCAACAAACCAAAGAAAUAAAAACUAUUAAUCAAUACAUAAAAAAAAAACUACCAUUUUCAACACUCAAAGAAUUAAACAAGAAAAAGAAAAAAAAAGAAAUUGAAUAUUUAUUGUUAAAGAAAUCCGGAGGAACAAAGAUGGAUGUUUGGUGCGACCUCCAUAUGAAUCCCAGAGUAAAAAACUAUUUGGCUUAUAUUUGAAAAGCAGAGAUUGAAAGUUUAUGGUGAAAGAAAGGAAUAUUAGAAAGGAGUGAAGAAGUUGUUGUUGUUGUAGGUGAGAGUCCACAGAGAGAGUCUAUUAGACGAGGAGCAAAGAGACAAGAGGCGUAAGAUUUGGAAAGGGAAAAAAUGGGGAUUGUCAAAUAAAUUCAUCACAAACCCUACACCUCUUGUGGUAAUCCUUUAAAAAGUAAGAUCCAUGUUACAACCAUGGACUUGGCAGGUUGGAGAGAGGAAGAGAGGAAGGAGAGUUGAAGGGAGGAAGAGAAGAAUGAGGGAGAGAGAGACUGAGGAAGCAAAGAGGAAGAUUAGCGGAUGUGAGAGUGUUUAAGAAUGAAAAGGAGUGACGGCUAGGGUUUGUAAACUUUAUAAAUUUUAUAAAACAUUAAGAUUAGAAUACCUAUAAAUAAUAUACUGGUACAAUUAUAGCAAUACAAAGCCUACAGUCAAGUUGAUUUGAAUGAGCUAUCCCCAACCUGGACGGAAAGGGUUCGAAUCUUCACUCCAUCAGGUUUUGAGUAUUUAUAUUUUAUUUCCAUAUUUCGGUCCGGUCAAAUUUUCAUACCUCAAAAACCGAAACCGAACCAACCAAAUUUAAUUCGGUUCGAUUCAACAUAUUCGGUUCAGUUUUUUUCGGUUCGGUUUUUUUUUUUACCUCGGUUGUCCGUUUUUUCGGUUUUCGGUUUUUCCCACCCACCCCUAACCCAUAGUCCUUAAGAUCCUCGUGGUAUCGGAGGUACCUAGCCCGAAGGCUUCUCAGGCUGCUUCUACUGAUGCAGCUGUGGCGUCAGAAAUGCCUAUCUCCCAACCUUGGGUAUACUAUUAUUUAGACUUUUUCCACUUUCUGCAAACCAAAUUACUAACACUUGUCUUUUCUUUUGACAUUUGUAGGCUUUUGGGGAAGGCUUGGCAACAUUUCUCCCUCUCCAGCAAGCAAGGAUGAUUCCCUUCAUCAACCAAGGAAAACAACUUAUCAUCUUUCCAAGGCUCCAAGUUCAACCCAAGUAUAUUAACUUUUCUUAUCUUGCCUUCCUCUCUUCUGAAUUAUAGAUUCUUUACUUAACCUAUUCUCUUUAGUUGCAACAGGGUCUUGGAGAAGGCUCGGGCCAGUCUCCUCCGUCAUUGGUAUGCAAAUCUGAUCUUUCACGACCUCAUCUAGCUUCUAGGGUCACAGGGAUCCCCAUCCUUGGGCCAAAGAAGAAAGUUAAGGCUACUACCACCACUACUACCUCUACUCCAACUUAUGGGCCACCUCCUCUUACUGAGAUCGCUUUAAUUGCUGCAUUUUCUGAAGAAGCUGGAGAAAUACCCUUACCCUCUGCACCUACUCUUGCAAUUGCAUCCUUGCUCGAGUUCUUCAAGGAGUUCGGGCAACUUAAGACAAGGCUGAGUUCUUCAAGGCAUCCCUCCGAGCUUCAAGGCUUUCAGGAUUAGCGCCGGAUUUUUCAAGAGUGGGUGAAAAGGGACUUCUCAGCGUCCUUUAGUCUUAAGGCUCUUCAUGAUGUAGAAAAACCCAUCAUUGAAUUGCAUAAAGCUCACCAACUAUCAAAGGUUCAGUAUAAGUUAUUCCUUUCUUAUUUCGAAAACUUGAGGGCCUUGAGGGAUCAACAUCAGCGGGUUAAUAGGCAAGCCAAUCGAGUGAAGUGUUUCAAGGAAAAACAAUCCAAGACUUAUUCUCAUAUUCAACACUUUAUGGGUGAGGGUUCAGCCACAGAGGAGAGGAUCAAGGUAGUAACUUCUGAGAUCCAUAAGUUAGAGGAGCAACUGGCUAUGCUAAGGGCUGAGCAAGGAGUUCUUCUUAGCAAACUUCAUCGAUAAAUUGAAGAAGUGAAGAAGAGGAAUUUGGAGCUAGAGUAUGCUGAGUCUCAAUUAGUUAAUAGCAGUAUUGUUUUCGCUGAACCUACUAGAAUAUUCACAAUUAUGCAAACUUAUCAUUUAGAAUAAUUACUUUAGGCAAAGACGUGAAUCUGUUAGGCUAAGGUCAUUGUAAUUCCCUUCUUAUCAAAUGAAAUGAAUCUUUUCCCUAUCUCUACUUGUCUCAAUCCUUGCUUUAUAUUGAAGUUUUACUGCACUAUCUAUCCUUCAAUAACUCACCCUCUUCAAUAUAAUAAUCUCUAGCAUCCCACAAAGUUAGAUGAUUUUUUUUUUAAACUUAGCAUUAACUAGAUGCCUUUGCAAGUUUCUCUCCAAAUCUGCUGAGUAAUAUCCUUCCUUAAUCAGUACCUGGUUGACAAUGAAAUGAUCCUCCCAAGUAGGACUCCACUUCCCAAAGCCUCUAACUUGAGUUCCCAAAGGCAAAAUUGCCUUCCACACUAAUUCUUCUUCUUUGAAGGUCUUCAAUCUCACUUUCUUGUUGUAUGCUCGGGCAACAGCUCUCUUCCCUUCUUGAAUUUUAUUUAAAGCUUCAAUUCAAGCUACAUCUAGAUCUUCAAUUCCUUGACACAUAGCCUGAAUGUAUUUUUCACUGUGCAGCUCAAACUUUCUUUGAAUCCUAAUAUAACUCAAAUUAAUCUCCAUGGGGAGUACAACAUCUUGCCUAAAGGUUAAGGCAUAAGGAGUAGUUCAAGUUCCUGCCCCUCUUGGAGGUUCUGUAAGCCCACAAAGUGUCUCCUAACUUCUCAUGCCAUUUCUCUGGACUUUCUGCUACCAUUCUCUUAAUAAUAUUCACCAAGACCUUGUUGUUGGCUUUUGCGUGACCAUUUGACUGGGGGUAGUAAGGACUAGAUUGGAUCAUCUUUAUCUUGAACUUUCUUGCAGACUUCUCUACUUCCUUUCAAAUAAAAGAUGGCCCUUGGUCUGUAACAAUUGUCUCGGGCACCCCAAAUCUGUGUAAGAUCUUGGUUUCAAUGAACUUCAUGACUGCAGUUGAGGUGAUAGUUUUGACAACUGAAGCUUCUACCCAUUUAGUGAAGUAAUCUGUUGCCACAAUUAUGAAUGUAUGCCCCUGCUAGAAGCUAGGUAAAUUUGCCCGAUCAAGUCUAUUACCCAUCCUUUGAAAGGCCAAGGUUUGACCACAUGGUUCAAGGGAAAUAAGGGCACAUGUUGAAAAGGUCCAUGCUUUUGACAUUCCUUACACCCUCGGGCAUAAGCCUUGCAGUCUUUCUGUAUGUCGGGCCAAAAGUAACCAUAUCUCCUGAGCAGCCAUCUCAUCUUAGUUCCAGCUUGAUGUGCUCCACAGAUUCCUUCAUGUACUUCAGCCAUGAUUCUCAUAGAUUCUUCUUGGCCUAAGCAUUUUAACAACAAUCCAUUUGGAGUUUUUCUUAGCAGAUUCUCCUCCCACAUGACAUACUUAGUUUUUUAUUGUCUAUUUCUUUUACUUAUGGGGAAAAAAGGAUUUUUCAAGUAUUGAAUAAUAGGUGAUCUCCAAUCUUCUAUUUCUGACUCUUUAGUCAUAACAUCUAGGCUGAAUCCUCUAUCAAAGAUGGAUGGGAGAUUCCUCUUUUGCACCUCUACUUCUACCUCGAAUCUUCUUUCUUGGAUCUGUGCUCCAAAAGCCAAUUGCGCCAUCUCAUUGGCCAUUACAUUAGAUUCUCUGGGAAUAUGGCUGACUGAUGAACAAAUUAUAUUUCUUGCAAGUGCACAAAUCGAUAUGAUAGUAUAGCAAGCAAAUACAAGUGUCGUACCCACAGGGAUUUGCAAAGUCACCUAACUAAAUCCAAUUUUGUAGUACCCAUUAUAAUUAAAAUAACGAAAACAACUAAACUACGAAAUUCAAAUAAUUAACCAAAAAGAAGUUGAUCAAGUAAUCUUAAGUGCAGUAAAUUAAAGAGAAUUUAUGUAAAUAAUUUCUGAAAACAAUGGUUGAAACACUAGGUAUCCGACUUCACCAUAUCAAUCCAAUUCUAUAUCAUUAGAUAACUUAGUAAGAACAAUUCAAUUUAGGUUCUAGGGUUCGUUCUCUCUUUAUUAUGAUUAUCCGUUAGGCGUCCGGGUGUAACCAAGUAUUCUUAAUCAUCAACUUAACCAUGGCGUCUAGUCUAAGUCAAUAAUAAAAAAUCCAUUAAGUGCAAGAAGAACAAAGAAAACCAAAAAAUGUCUUAGCAUAGCAUCUGCAUCAACAACAAUUCAUUCAUCCAAGAGAGCUAUCUCAAGGCUAAGCAUAUGGCGUCUACUAUAACCUUGUCUCAUACAUCUAAAAAUUCAUAUUAAAGGUAGCUAAUCAAUAACAUGAACAUAAAGAAUGAUAUAAGCACAAUGAAUGAAACUAGAAACCGUGAAUUGAUAAAAGAAUGAAGUUAACUAAGACAUAGAAUUAUCAUGAAGGCUACAUCAGAUCCCUAACAAAGAAUUAGUUCAUCACGACCAUCAAAUUAUAAUAAGACAUCAUUAUCACAAUCAUGAUCGCCAAGUCAGAAAAGAAGUAAAAAAAAACAAUGGAAAACCCCAUCGGUGUUGGCGUCUUCCUUAGGUCAAUCCUCUGUGAUGAAGUGCGACUCCCCUUUUUCCUCUUCGCUAUUUUUCACGUUUCUCUUCUUAAAUAAACAUAUAAAGAAUGUAUAGGUAGGUUUUGUUAGGCUUGCUUUGCCGAAAUUGUUGAAUCCCAUCCCAAACAGGAAUCCCAACAUCAUCAGACUUCAAUUUCCUGAUCCAAACUGGACUCCACUUCCGCGUAGAAUUCCUAAACUGACAUUUUAGUACUAAAACAUGUAUAACUUCUUCUAGAAGCAUCCAAAUCAUAAUCUGUAAAAUAUUUCCGAAACUAGACAUCUAAAGCUUUCCAUGCAUAUGUGACACAACACCCAGUUCGUCCUAAUGAAGUUUUUGACGUCCCAACAAAAAUGACAGUUUUGCGCAGUACCUUCCAGCUCCAAUUAUAAUUUUCACACAGCAGCCAUUAAGUUGUGGAUUGAACAAUUUAACAUUUGUGAUGAUUGUUGGAAUGCUUCUUUACUUCAAUUCUUCUCAGUUUUGAUCCCUUUUAGUCUUGAAAUCACCAAAAGACUCCAAAGUUUUCUCUACGGCCCAUUAUCUACAAAAUAUGCACUAAACACAUCAAACAACCAAUUUCACAAGAAAACAUAGCGUAAAACUUAACAAAUAUGGGCAAUAUAAAUGUAUAAAUAUUGUGUUAUCACUGACUGAUAUUUAGUGCCCUAAUAACACAACAAUUGAGUAGCUGCCAAGUAAUAACCAGCCAUAGUGAUAUGCUUGCACUUGUAUUCUCUAUUUAGCUAAUUAAUCACCAACUCUUAAUCACCAAACACUUCAACUUCAGUUGCUCCCAACUCCAUCAAGAUUUCUAGGCCAAUUAUUAGUGCCUCAUACUCUGCCCGAUUGUUGGUAGUCUCUUGAUAAUCCAGGAUGAAUGAAUAACAAUAGUGAACACCUUUGGGAUCAAUGAUAACAAUCUCGGCUCCAACAUCAUUUUGAGUGCAAGAACCAUCAAAAUACAACCUCCAAUGAGUGAUCGAGAGGUUAAUUAUCCUUUUUAUCUCUUGCUAGAUCCAUUCUUCUUUGCUCGAGAAUGCUCUGCUUGGUAGGAUCCACACACUGGCCACCUCCAGAGUUCCUGGGAUGUUGAUAAUCUCAUCCCGUGGUUCUUGGUGCUCGGCCAAGAAGUCUGCAAUUGCUUGUUCUUUUAUUGCUUUUUGGGGCACAUACUGAAAACCGAGAUAGUGUUAGAAUCCACUUUCCAAUUCUUCCAGUUAGCAUUGGUUUUGACAGCAUAUAUUUGAUCACAUAUGUCCUAGCGAUGAUGUGGAUGUGGCAAGGUAAUAUGUAAUGCCUUAGCUUGCAGGCAAUGAAGUAUAAAGCCAAACACAACCUCUCCACUAGUGUAUAUCUUGUUUCUACCUUAGUAAGAAUUCUACUGAGGUAGUAUAUUGCUUGUUCCUUUCCUCCUUCAUUGUUUUGGGCUAGCAAACUUCCCAUUGACUUUUCAGAGGCAGAAAUAUAAAGCUUUAAAGGCUUUCCCCGCUGAGGUGGCAUAAGCACUGGUGGAGAGGCCAAGUAAGCCUUUAUUCUGUCAAAGGCUUCUUGGUGUGAUAGGCCCCACUUGAAUUCUUCUUUAUCUUUCAAUCUUAGCAAAUAAGUUAGCGGCUGAAUCUUGCCCGCCAAGUUAGCAAUGAAUCUCCUCAAGAAGUUGAUUUUUCCUAAAAGCCUCUGUAGUUGUACUUUGUUGGUAAAAGGAGGUGAUUUCAUUAUUUCUCGAGCUUUAUUUUUGUCAACUUCCACCCCUCUUUGAUGAACAAGGAAUCCUAAAAAGUUGUCUGACCUUACCUCAAAAGCGCAUUUCUUAGGAUUCAUUUUUAGCUUAUGGAUCCUCAUUCUUGUUAAGGCUUGUCUGAGGUCAACUAGGUGUUGUUCUUCAGUUUUAGACUUUACCACGAUGUCAUCAAUGUAUAAUUCCAUGUUAUGGUCAAUCAAGUCAUGAAAAAUAGCAUUCAUUGCUCUUUGAUAAGUGACAACAACGUUUUUAAGCUCGAAUGACAUACUAAGUAUUCAUAUGCUCGAACAUGGCUUGGGCACCUAAAAGCUGUUUUAUGUAUAUCUUCUUUGGCCCUUUAUAUAUGAUUAUAACCAGCAUUCCCAUCCAUAAAAGAUAAAACUUUGUGUUUUGCAACUGCAUCUAUGGAUAGGUCAACCAUGGGCAUGGGUAUUCAUCUUUAGGCGUGGCUCCAUUAAUGUUUCUAUAGUCAACACAAUACUGAACUGCAUUAGUUAUAGCUUUUAAUAUAGAUACAAUGUUGGCCAACCACUCGACAUAUUUGGCAGGCCUAAUAAAUCCAGCCUUCACCAGAUUUUCAAUCUCUUCUUUGACUUUUUCUUCGAUUUUUUUUACAUUCUUCGUGGUGCUUGCUUCACAAGUUUAUAUCCCUCCUUAAUAGGCAUUUUGUGUUCUACUAAGGUUGGAUCUAAACCUGGCAUCUCAGUGUAAUGCCAAGCAAAACAGUCUUUAAACUCAUGCAGAAGGCUGAUUAUCUUUGCCUGAUCUUCAUCUUCUAACAGGUCACUGAUUUGUAUAGGUUUAGGAUCUUCCUCAGUCCCGAGAUCAAUGGUUUCUAAAAGGUCUUGUACCUCUGGUGGUAGCUUAUCAGGUUCUGCAUACAAAAAUUUGAUUAGCUGAGGAUUCUCAGGCAAAUCUUCUGUCCCAUCCAGGUCAUAUAUACAUUCAACCAUUUGUAUGGCUACUUCCAACUUCUUCCCAAAAAACUCUUCUUCAUUUAUGUUCUAGCUGCUUGACGCUUCUUCCUUCCAUUUCUCUUGUUCUCUAGACAAGCUUUCCCUUUCUUGCUUUCUCUAUCUCUCAUACACCAACAAUUUUUUUUAUUAAUGACCUGACUGCAACUACUUGGUCCUUUUUUCUUUGUUCUGACAUUACUGGUGUUGGGGAGUUGGGACAAUAUAGGGUCUAUCCCAUUCCUCCCUUGUGAUGGACAACCCUUGUUCUAGCAGUUUUUAGGAUGUCACCUUAGUCGGGCGACCGUUUUUAUCUGCUCCUAAGCAUUGAAGAAUCCCAAUAGUAGGAUUGUAAAAGCUGGUUUCUGCUACAUUGGCUGUGGGGAGGAAUGGACGUGACUUAGCCUCCACCAUCUCCUAAAAUCCUAGUCUCACGACCCUUUCCUCAUGGUAAACUGCUACCUAUUGAUGUAGGGUGGAAGGCACUGAGAGACUGAUGAAUCCAAUCUUAACCUAAUAAAGCUUCAUAUGUGGAAGUAAUGUCCACAACGAAGAAGGCUCAUGAUUUGCUUAGAACCCAAGUCAACCUCCAAUGGUAGUAUCCUAUGAGUUCUAGUAAUGGCUCCAGAGAAACUAGAAACUGUUAAAUCUGUGGGGAUGAGAUCAUCCUCACCUCCACACAUUCUUUUCAUCUGCUUAUAUGACCGCAACUGCACCAUCAAUCAAAACCCUUUUGAAGGGUACUCCUUCCAGAUGAGCAGUUACAUAUAUAGGUUUAAGAUGGUUAGCUAGCCAAACUCGAGCGACUAAAGACCAUUCUGUCUGAAUAUACUAUCUCGGGCUCUUUCUUUGCAAGCUUAGGUAAGCAUGUUCUGCCCGAUUCUUCUUUCCCUACUUCCUCAACACUAACAUGUGUCAUAAGUUCUGUUGCCAAGUAGUCACCUUCCAUCGUGGGAGAUUGAUCAAGCUCAGAGCAAAACAUGGCAGAUAGAACAUACGCCAUGUUUACGUGGAAAUUGCUAAGUUCAGGUAGAUCCUCCUUCUUGCCCCCAAUGUGGUCCAUGAAUUCAUCAAACCAGGCUUGUGCUUCUUUUGGCAACAUUAGCUUGGGCAACCUUUCCUCCUGAGUUAUACCAAAAUUUGGCAUUUGUCUAGGAACUUCACCAAGGGUAUCAACCAACAAAGGUGAGGGCAUUCUCCUUUCGGGCGAGAUAGUCGCAAAACAUAUAGGUUCUAGGCUCCAUCUUGGGGCUGGCAUCAUUACCAUAUCAUCUUGAGCUCUUCUCAAGAUUCUGUACUUUCCUAGAUGAGGGCUUUAUGGCACAUGAUCUCCAUUUCCCUCAGUCUUGCUAUUGGCCUUCUCCACCUCCUUUUUGCUUCUCUAGUGAAGCUGAUUUCUUCCCCUAUGAGGUACUUUAUCAAACUUCACAUUUUCAGAGGUUUCUAAUGUAGUAGGGACUUUUAGUGAGUUCAUAUAGGCCUUGUGUUGCCUUUGGACUCUUCUGAUUAUAGAAACUCCUAUUUUCUUGACAAGUCUCCCAUUCUUUCCAACUGUAUACCAUUUUAGCCCAAGUCAGGCAGAAUCCUUCUUGGUAAUUGGAGACAUUGAGUUCCUCACUCUUCCCUUUAUCCUAACAUCACUUCCAUUAUAACUUAGCUGUGGAGGUUUUACUUCCACCCAUCUUGGCAUCUUAGCUUUAUUGUAUUCUCCUUCUUUUGAGGCUUCAUAAUUUAUGAACACCUCAGACAAGUUUUUGGGCUGAAAAUCUCCUCCCAACCUUUGAAAGACAUUCCUAGAGGUUUAUUUCUCAACAGCCCUCAUGAUGUUUCUACGGGUUUCUUGUUCUUCUUUCUCUCUUCUUCUAAUCAAUUCUUGAUCAAUAAUGGCUCCUGAUGCUGGCACCUCUAGCUCACAUUCACAUUGGAAUUUGCUACACAAUACCAGCUUAUUAACUAUGGCUGAUUUGGGUUUCUCGGGCAACUUGAUAGUACCUUCUGUAGGUUUGUCUAUUUGCCUUCUUUUUGCUUUCACUUUCCAAGUGGUUUUUCCCUUCCCUUUCUUAGCCCAAGUCAGGUUGAUCAUGUUUAUUAGGGCUUCUGGGAAGGGAUCUGUGUCAAUCAUCAUAUUAGCCUGCUGUUUUUCCAACAACAAUUUUCCCUUCACUGUGAGGUCUUGUAUCCAAUCCUUAAACUAGACAUAGUUGGUUAUGGAGUGGUUGAAGAUAUAAUGCAGCUUGCAAUACUUCUUUCCUCUUAAUUUUUCUGGCUUAGGCAUCUUCUUGGUGUUGUCGGGCACAAUCACUCUUACCCACACCAAUUCUUCGUAGAUUUCUAAGGCUUUAAUCAAAUUAAAAUAAUAACUCUGGUACUUAGAGGGUUUCAUUGGGAAAAAUCCCCUAUCAUUCAUUACUACAUUCUGAUCUUUGACUGGCUGAACUAAGCCAUUCACUGUUAAUGGUUUAAAGGGCAUAGUCAUCUUUGCUGCACACAUGUCCAUUCCUUCUCUCUCAUGACCAUCACUUUCUUCUGUCUCUCCUUCAAACUCCAGUUGAUGAAUGACAUCUUUGUUUUUGUAGAAUGGCAGUGAUUUAGAAGAGUGUUUAUCAAGAGUUUCUCAUACUUAGUGGCAAUCACCAACUCUUACAGUUCAUUGAAAUGUACAUCAUAAACUUUUUCCUCAAAGGCAACCUUAAUGCCUUCUGAGAAAUAGAUAUAAGUUGGUCAUGAUUGAUAGGGAAUUGGCACGUCAUACUUGUCUUUCUAAACCUCAUCAUGAAAUCUUCUGUAGACUCAUGUUCGUAUUGCUUUACUGAAGGAAAUUUUGUGAAAAACAUGUUCAUUUAAGCAACAUCUACAGCAUGCAAUUAACAAAUUAAAGGCGGAAUCAUGCUUGUAUGCACUUAAAAACAAAACAUUAACCAUGAAAUUCAAAGCCUAGUAGAUUGGUGAACCUUGACUCAACUUAAAACAACAUUUGUUAGUUGAGAAAUUAUACCUUUGUAGAUUCCUCUUUGCAUAAGCAAAGGCUAAUCACCCAAAGAGAGGGCCUUCAUUCCUUGCAUCUUAGAUCUAUGGAUUUGGAUGGAUGAAAUGGUUCUCCAAGUUCCCAAAAUUGAGAACCUCUAAGUCUCUUCACCAAGGUUAGAUUGGAGAAGAAAUGAGUGACCUUGGAGUAGUAGGAUUGCUAGCUAAACCCUCCAAGGAGGCCGGCCACUUUAGAGAGAAAUGAGAGCUUGUGUUCUCAUCCUUUCCCCAAAAGAAAACCGUAAAUGAAUUUUGGCUAUAAAGUCAUAUUUAUACCUUAAUUCAUUGGAGUGGCAAACUUGUAAAUAAGUCCAAAACUCACUACAUCUCUAAAUGGCCGGCCUUAGGGUACUAUUGGGCUAAUUGGGCCUUUAUGAAUCAUUAUUCAUUAAGUUGUCAUACAACUUAAGUCAAUGGGCUUGACGUUCGAAGCCCAUUGGGCCUUAAGUUCCAAAAUUAUCCCGAGGUCUUUAACAAACUUAUUCGUUUGAUUAAUUAACAUAUUAAUUAAUCUUUACCAUAAAUAAUUAAAUCAUUUAAUUAUUCUUAUUCAUCUCCAUUGUUUCUUCAAUCUCCACCUUACACAGUGUACGAUCCAUUAGGUUCCUUUUAGCGAGGCAGUGGGCGAUUAAAACCAUUUCAAAUCGAUUGUGAAUUGAAACUUACUUUCAAUUCUCCCUUUAGUGAUUAUACACAUUUAGGGCUUCCACAAACCAUGAGUGACACCUAGCAGCAUAUCAUGGUUACCCAAGCUAAUCAGAAGAGGUGGAGAACCUAUUCAGUUUAGGAUUACAAAUGCAAUACGGUCUUUCUCUAAUACAAUACUCUUGACCACAUUGUUUGGUUUGAUAGUUUAUUCAUGUCUACUAUCCAAUGUGAUUCGUGUGCUUAUAUGAUUACCUUGAAUGUGAUUUGGAACGACUUCCUAAAUCUCAUUCAUACUCUGGCCAGAGAUUCUUAAUCAUAUCAUAGAGUAUUCUCCCCCAAACGGUUUGAAGGUUAGAGAUCCCUUGUUGCGCAUUCACUUGUCUUCAUGGCUAUGUGGCUUAACCCCGACGAUGCCGUGGACACCCGCGGAUGGGGUGACUUUGACAUAAUCAAAGAUCAAGGACCUAACCACAAGACAACUAUGAUGCUUCAGGUCAAAUGACUACUUUGCAUUAUCCCAACCAUGAGUUCUCAUGUGACAUGAGUAUGAGAACUCUUCGUUGAUCGUGUUCAGUGAACUCAUUCUCUAUUGAGCACCUACGUACUUGUCUUGAUGUCACACACACCAAUGACUCGAGACUAGUCACUCUCCCUGAGAGAAGACACAGCACGUACUGAUCUUAACGGAUUGUCAAUGCCCAAUUGGCAAUCCUAUGAUCAGGAAUGUUUAGGAUGUGUCUACGAAAGAAUGGUCUCAUGAAUCUAACUUCUUUAGAUCGCAUUCUCCCAAUCACAUAUUCCUUGGACUUUAUCGUUUAAGCAUAUAACAUUUUAUAUGAGACGGCUCAAACAAUAAUAUUUGCCCUUCAUAUUAAACUAGAUUAGUUUAACAUGUGAAAUGUCCGUAAAGUAUCAUCAUAUGAUUGGUUUUAGGGCACAUUUCCAACAAUCUCCCACUUGCACUAGAGCCAAUCAGCUUGGUCAUCAGUGAUGAUACCUCUUCUGUAGUCAUUUCAUAAAUGGCUGAGUAGUAGGCCUAGACAAUGGAUAUCUAUAUGUUAUCCAUAGAAGCAACCUUGAGAAUAACGAUGUCACCAUUAUACAUGAUUCUUAAUCAUGUGGUUCAGUCUCUCAUUUGGGUUCGGAUCGUGAUGAGACCUUGAUUCCCUGGCUUGAGCUAUCGCCCCAUUAGUGUCAUAGUGUCAGUACACUAGAGACACUUUCUGGUUGGAACCGAAUAGAGAGUUCAUAAAUGAACUUUCCCAUCCAAACAACAUUGUUGUAAACUUCUAUAUGGCAAUAUAUUUUGCAUUCAUAAUGGAACACACUAAAGUCAUUACUUUAAUGUUUCCAUCCAAAUAUCUCUUUAGUCAUAAUAAAGAGAUAUCUGUUUAUCUCUUCAUUCAUAAUGAAGAAACAUCCAAUGAUGGAUUAGAUUCAUAAUCUAAUACAUUUACGCUUCCAUUACGUUACUCUAAUUCUUCCUCGAUCUUUGAGGAAUUUAUCCUUUAGUAUUUCUUAAAUACUUAAGGACUCACUUGACAGUUGCCAUGGUUCUGAUCCUGGGCUUGCACUGAUAUCGUCUUGUACCGUUCUAGGUACAACUCAUAUCAAUGUUUUUCAUACAAUAUGAAAUACAUAAAUCACCUUUCUGCGUAUGCAUAAAGGAUUCUAUUUACGCAUUAUUUCUUUGGGAGUCAAAGAGUAUGUUCUCUUUGAGAAGAGCAACUUCUUAGUCUCACUAGAGUUGUCCUUUUUUAUUGAAGUUCAUCAUCAUAUGAGAAACUUCCUAUCAUCUUUUGUCUAUAUUUAGGGCUUGAUAUAAUCCAAUUAUAUCCUAAAAUCUAUCAAUAUAGAUUUUCAUCCCAUGUAUAUAGACUAUAUCUCCCAUAUACAUUCUAUCUUCAUAUAAUGUUUUAAAGUCAUAACUUUAACGAAGAAGUAUUCUUGUCAUUUCCAAAAUUAAUAUAUCAUAUAUGUGUUUAUAUAUAUAUAUAUAUAUAUUUAAAUUUAGGAAUAUGAUUAACUCCCACUAAUCUUUUGUAAACCUAAUAAACAAAAAAAUUCAUUCACAUCUUUAUGAGAAAUCAAACGAUUUGAUCUUUCUCUCAUAAGACGCUUAUAGCUCCCACUAGCUUGCUAAGAUCCAUGAUGGAUGGAUCUUUACAACUUACAUGUCUUGUGAUUCAUAGUUUUAGACAUAUAUAUUAUCAAGACUAUCUUAAUAAUGGUUUCGAAAACCCAUAUAAUGUCCAAACAUUGAAUCACCAUUUAGUUGUAGCUAGCAAUCUUCGAAUUAAUUGAAACCAAGACUACGUUAAAGAUGGUUUCUUCCAAGUCAACCAAUCUCUUUAAUUGUAGUCACCUUAAGCUACCAAUUAGCUAUAAAGGUUUCAUUAUUUCGGGUCAAAUGAUACUUUACCAUUUCCUUGAGUAUAUGUCGUAUAUACACUCAAUGUAGUCAUAAGGAUUUUCAUUCUUAUUUCUUUUGAAUUAAGAGGUGUAACUCUAUGACAUAGUCAUAAAGUUCAAACCAUUCAACUGAGACGGUUUAUAAAUCAUUCUCGACUACCUUGGAGCUUGUGAUAUAGGAACUAGGUUGUUAUAUUUGUUGAUCACUAUCUUGUUUCUCAAAGAACCCAUUCUUUGAGUUCUAUAUCUUGUUCAUUUGCACUAUCUUAGGCAAAUCCUAGUGUAGGAUUACAAUGAACUACCCAACAAACAACAUUUGUUAGUUGGUUUAUAGAAGCGAUAUCCAAAUGUUAAUUUAAGGAUACCCACAAGAUUAAUUCUCAAACAAAUAUUGCUUAUUAGCACACAACCCCAAAUCUUAACAUGAUUAAGAUUUGUCUUUCUUUCCAACUACAUCUUAUGGAGUCAUGAAAAUUUUGGAAGAUCUUCUAAUUGACAAUCAUAUUGUCUUAGAAGCAUAUAUCCUAUAUAUGGGUAAUUGAUAACAUCCAACGAACUAAAUCUUAUUCAAGUUCGUUCUUCUCUCCUAAUGGAGAAAUCCAUUAUCUUUUGAUGCUUCUUUCCUUGAUAUUUUCAAGGAAACUGUUCUAAAGUGUUAUAUUUCCUUUGAUCAAAUCUAAGGAGGCAAAUACUUUAGACGUCUUACUCAUCAACUUACAUUUCUUGAAUUCUUUGAAACCUUUUGCAAAGUAUUCGGACUUGUGUUUAUUCAAAAUAAACUAUAGUCCAACCGAGAGUGAUCUUCGGUGAAUGUCAUACAACAUGAGUAGUAUUAUGUUGUGGACAAGUGCCACUAACAUCUAAGUGAAUUAACCUCAACAACUUUGUGAUUCUUUCUUCUUUCCAAAAGAAUAAAGAUUCGAACAUUUCGCCUCUAUACAAUUUUAAUAAGAAGGUAUUGGAUCCGGAUCUAACGAUCCAAAGCAUCCAUCUAUGACCAACUCGUAAUUUAUGUUUUAGAGGUAUCACAACUCAGUUGGGAUUAGUCACUACCUUGCAACCUUUUGUGUUUUAAGCAUCAUUAUAUUCUAAACAGUUAACACUACCAUAUCAUCUCUACUAUAGAGACAAUCAAUUAGAUUACUAUAAUCCAAUCAUUGACUAAUAAAGAACAAUGUUUUGUCAAACAAAACAUUCAUCCAUCUCUACUAUAGUGAUGGAAUUAAGUUCCUUAAAAUUGGAAUGUAUAGACAAUCUUUGGGUUUUUCCAAUUUCUUUGGUAGUUCAUAUGAAGAAGUAAGUACUAUCUGCUUUCGCAGAGAUCUUUAUUUAUUCACGUUCCGAAUGUGAAGCACCUUUUUCUUCUCUCAUAUUUCUUCUACUUCUUAUUAGUCACACUUUUACAAUGAUUGUAAAACAUAGUUACUAAUACGGAAUCAAGCAUUCAAGUAGAAGAACCAACUGUUUUGAACUAUUCAAGAACAAUUUACAUCACCUUCGAAAGGUGUGUUCUUGACACUGGCAAGACUUUUCUUGCAAAUACCCCUUCCAAUGUCCAUCCUUUCAUAAAGAAAGUUUGUUCCCUUGGAGUUAUUUCGCUUUCUUCAUUUGACUUCUCCUUUGACUACAAUAGUCAUGGUCCCUAAACUCCCACUAUCUCUCUUGAAACUUAUUUCAAUUGUGUUAUACACAUCAAACGAUUUGGAGAGUGUGUGGUUAUUGUUCACUAUAUAGUUUACAAUAAACUUAGUGAACCAUUUGGAUAGGGACUUAAAGGUGAAGUCCUAGCCUAGUUUCCGUCUCGUUAAGUGGUUUAUCACUUCAACACUCAAUGAUUCAAAAUCAUCAUAAGUCCACGUUAAUGGACUAUUUUUGUCAAACAACCAUUAUGUUCUAAACAUAAUUACAAACUUUCAAGAGUUGUUCAAGGCAACUCUCAUUUCUUCAUACAACAAUUUGUAAGUGAAGAAUCAUGGCACAUAAAGUGUCCAUGCCCUUGUGCUUACUUCUAAAGUUCCUUGUUCAUGUAACAAAGAAACAAGCAUUAAUGUUUGCAUUUAACUAAGAGUUGUUCAAAGCAACUCUUAUUUCUUCAUACAACAAAUUGUAAUUGAAGAAUUUAUGACAUUAAAAGUGUUGUCCUCUUUAUGAUAGACUUUUUCUAACAUAUUCUUCUAAUGAUACAUUAUCAAUAGGAAGAUUGUGAGGAUGAGACUACUUAGGUACAUUUACAAGCCAUUAAAGACAAUCUAUGGUUUUGUAGUACCAAAUCUGGAAACUAAAGCUUUCGGCUUUUAUUUGUCAAGUGUUGGAUAGCGUUUGCAAAUAUAUUGGUAAAUAAAUACAUAACGAAUCUAAAUUGAUUUAUUUUAAGCCAUUUGAUUCGGGUCUUUAAAUCAAAUAGCACCACCCACUAUUUUUAGCAAAUUCCAUAUCCCUCAUUGGAAUUCGAGAGUUUUGGAGGAAACUCUUAGUAGGGUAUGGGAGACUCACUAUUACCAAGCCCACCUCACAAUGAUAUGAUGUUGGCUAGCAUUAAUAAUAAUGAGAGAGUACGCUUACUCAUUUGCAUCUCUUGCAAGUACCCAUCUUAUUUGGCCUCUAGAGAAUGUAGCCUCACAAUGAUAUGAUGUUGGCUCCAUUGCACUUAGUUAAGUCAUUCCCACCAUGCAACUUCGGGUAGGGGUUCAAGAACAACCUCACAAUGAUAUGAUGUUGCCUAUUCUCGUUGCCUACCUUUCACAACAUCAAGUAUGCAUAUAGACUCCUCCUGAGUGUAAACACGCACUUUGUACUCCCCCAUGAUAGGGUGAAGCCGGUGUACGAGUCACAAACGAUCGGAGCCUACCACGGUGGAAGGCCACGAAAGAGUGUUCAAAGCACUUUCACGCUUCUCAACUUAAUAAUGGUUUGGUUGAGGGUUUUUAGGUCUCAUCACAUAUAAAUAUUCAUUUUAAUCUUUAUUAAAACAAUUUUGGUCCUAUUACAACUAUUGGUCCAUUUGAUUGAAUUUAGUUGUAUAUAAUACUCCCACUAUGCUUAUAAAACGGUUUUUAAAGCAAGAGUAUAUGAUACUACUAACAUAAACUUUGCAUUCAUUUGAUGGACUAUAUAGUUGCCUUAGGGCCUUAGGAUGACUAUGAACCUUUGUUUAGAUUCAACACGAGCCUAGUGUUGAAUCUCGGUCUAGGGAUGGUGAUUGAUUUUAGUUACGCGUUUAAUCACAUUAAGGCAUGUUGUCUUAGGGGCGUUGGACCCUCUACUCCAUUUUCAUGCAUAUCAAAUAAUAAAAAAAAGGAGGAAAAGUACUUCAAAGUAAAAGAUGAGCUUAUGCUCUUUUACAACAUUUGAUCAAAUCAAAUUACAACCAAAAUCUAAUCUACACAUUCCCAUGGUUCAAACAAAUUUGAAACGGCCUUUCACAUAGCUCAAUUAUCGUAGGCUUAGGUUCAUAAUCACCCUUUAAUUAAUUAAUACUUUAACUAAUUAAACUGAAUGCAACAUUUUCAUUUGGUUUUUGUAUCCAUAGAAUUGAUUUAAAUGGAGCUAAAUGAAAUGAAAAUCCAAUUCUCAUUUAAAGAGACAAAACUAUUUUGUUCUCAACCUAAUUUGGGCCAAAAUGCAAUAACCUCAACUUUUUGGACUAUGUUGCAAAACUUAAACUUUUGAGCUCAUUUUGUAAAAACACAAAAGUCCACUACUUCAUUUAAUUACAACUUCAACCCAAAAAUUUCAACAAAUUCAAAAACUUCAUUAAAGGAACAAAACAAUUUGUCCUUUAAUGAUUUUGGGCCUUUACGUAAAUACGUAAACUUUUGGGUCAAACUACAAAUUACACAAAAGUACCAAAACUUUAUGUAAUUGCAUAAAAGCCCCAAAAGCACCUCACUUGUAGGGUGGCCGGUUUUAGAGAGAGUGAGGAAUGCAAAAUUUUGAAAUUUUUCAACAAAGUCAUAAAGUCAUGCAAGUGGUGUGUGUGACAUAAAUUCAUGCAAGUGGUGUGUGUGUAAGAGAAGUACUUCUUACACACCCAUCACCAUUUCUAUCACCUUUCAAAAUUUCAAUCACAUUAAAACAUUUGAUAAAGCACAAAACAAAGACUUUAUGAAAUAAAUCAAAACUUUGAAUCAAAACACCAAACUUUUUGUUCUUGGCUAAAAUGUCAAGAACAAUGAAGAACAUUCAUGAAAAAACCCAUAAAAGCUUCAUGAACAUUUUUCAUCCAAAGACAUCCCAAAACCACUCAAACUUAAGGAAAAUAACAUAUAACCAAACUAGGGUACAUAGGGGUUCCAAAAGUUACUUGAAAACAUUUUUAACAAGUCAAACAAGAACCCAAAAAUCCACCCUUUGGAUUUGGCCGAAAAUUCCCAAAAACAUGGCACCAAAUUUUAGCUCCAAAAUUCAUGCUCAUAUGAACUACAUCUACAACAUUUGAGAUGGCAAAUUUUCUAACAAAAUUUACAUUCAAAGAAGCAAGAAUAAAGCUUGUAACAUAUUACAACAUUUGAAUCAAAGACUAUGAACUACAAAACCCAAAAGGAUUCACCAACUACUAGACCUAGGCUCUGAUACCACUUGAAGGAAAUUUUGUGAAAAACAUGUUCAUUUAAGCAACAUCUAUAGCAUGCAAUUAACAAAUUAAAGGCGGAAUCAUGCUUGUAUGCACUUAAAAACAAAACAUUAACCAUGAAAUUCAAAGCCUAGUAGAUUGGUGAACCUUGACUCAACUUAAAACAACAUUUGUUAGUUGAGAAAUUAUACCUUUGUAGAUUCCUCUUUGCAUAAGCAAAGGCUAAUCACCCAAAGAGAGGGCCUUCAUUCCUUGCAUCUUAGAUCUAUGGAUUUGGAUGGAUGAAAAUGGUUCUCCAAGUUCCCAAAAUUGAGAACCUCUAAGUCUCUUCACCAAGGUUAGAUUGGAGAAGAAAUGAGUGACCUUGGAGUAGUAGGAUUGCUAGCUAAACCCUCCAAGGAGGCCGGCCACUUUAGAGAGAAAUGAGAGCUUGUGUUCUCAUCCUUUCCCCAAAAGAAAACCGUAAAUGAAUUUUGGCUAUAAAGUCAUAUUUAUACCUUAAUUCAUUGGAGUGGCAAACUUGUAAAUAAGUCCAAAACUCACUCCAUCUCUAAAUGGCCGGCCUUAGGGUAUUAUUGGGCUAAUUAGGCCUUUGUGAAUCAUUAUUCAUUAAGUUGUCAUACAACUUAAGUCAAUGGGCUUGACGUUCGAAGCCCAUUGGGCCUUAAGGUCCAAAACUAUCCCGAGGUCUUUAACGAACUUAUUCGUUUGAUUAAUUAACAUAUUAAUUAAUCCUUGCCAUAAAUAAUUAAACCAUUUAAUUAUUCUUACUCAUCUCCAUUGUUUCUUCAAUCUCCACCUUACACGGUGUACGAUCCAUUAGGUUCCUUUUAGCGAGGCAGUGGGCGAUUAAAACCAUUUCAAAUCGAUUGUGAAUUGAAACUUACUUUUAAUUCUCCCUUUAGUGAUUAUACACGUUUAGGGCUUCCACAAACCAUGAGUGACACCUAGCAGCAUAUCAUGGUUACCCAAGCUAAUCAGAAGAGGUGGAGAACCUAUUCAGUUUAGGAUUACAAAUGCAAUACGAUCUUUCUCUAAUACAAUACUCUUGACCACAUUGUUUGGUUUGAUAGUUUAUUCAUGUCUAUUAUCUAAUGUGAUUCGUGUGCUUAUAUGAUUACCUUGAAUGUGAUUUGGAACGACUUCCUAAAUCUCAUUCAUACUCUGGCCAGAGAUUCUUAAUCAUAUCAUAGAGUAUUCUCCCCCAAACGGUUUGAAGGUUAGAGAUCCCUUGUUGCGCAUUCACUUGCCUCCAUGGCUAAGUGGCUUAACCCCGACGAUGCCGUGGACACCCGCGGAUGGGGUGACUUUGACAUAAUCAAAGAUCAAGGACCUAACCACAAGACAACUAUGAUGCCUUAGGUCAAAUGACUACUUUGCAUUAUCCCAACCAUGAGUUCUCAUGUGACAUGAGUAUGAGAACUCUUCGUUGAUCGUGUUCAGUGAACUCAUUCUCUAUUGAGUACCUACUUAGUUGUCUUGAUGUCACACACACCAAUGACUCGAGACUAGUCACUCUCCCUGAGAGAAGACACAGCACGUACUGAUCUUAACGGAUUGUCAAUGCCCAAUUGGCAAUCCUAUGAUCAGGAACGUUUAGGAUGUGUCUACGAAAGAAUGGUCUUAUGAAUCUAACUUCUUUAGAUCGCAUUCUUCCAAUCACAUAUUCCUUGGACUUAUCGUUUAAGCGUAUAACAUUUAUAUGAGACAGCUCAAACAAUAAUCUUUGCCCUUCAUAUUAAACUAGAUUAGUUUAACAUGUGAAAUGUCCGUAAAGUAUCAUCAUAUGAUUGGUUUUAGGGCACAUUUCCAACAUUCACCUCCACUAGAUCAUUAAUAGUCAUCACGGGCUUCACCCUGUAUAAUUGUUCAUGAAAAGCCAUCUCAAUUUGCCCCUAGUAGGCAAUAGAAUUAGGGGGCAACAGAGAAUACCAUUAAGAUGCCAGGUCAACUAAGAAGUUCCCAAACAAUCUUAACUUAUAGUUAGGAUUGUCUUCAAAUGCCACAUAAUGAUUAGAGAACUUGAAAAUGUUAUCUCUAAAGGAUACACCGCCAUCUUCUCUGCUAAAAAUGGGGAAUGCGGGCAUCUUGAAGUUAAGGGGAAAAUGAUUAUGCUUAUCGAUAUAGUCAGGAUAUGGCUAUUAGUAGGUGAUCCUAAACAAUGGGCAAGCUUGUGGUUGAGCAUUCUGGAGCACCAUUAUUCUUAAUUCAGCCAAUUUCUUCCUGAGUUGCUGGUUAGCUAUGUUAUUAGGUGGAAUAUGAGGAGUUUCGCACUUCGGGCUACAAUCAUUACCCGCGAAGGCUUUCUUCCUUGGUUCAGACUUCCUCCAUUUAGCCCCUUGUUCCUUAUUAGCUAAUGGUGUUGGCCUAUAAAAUGGAGGUUUAUCCGCGGUUGUGAACUCACAUUUCCUGCUGGAUUCUUCUAUUAACUGGGGCAUCCCAUACUUCUUUCUUUCUCGCCCGCUCUGCCCUCUACUAUCUAGUGAGAAUAAUAGGGGGUCAGACAACUCUGCUUCCAGGAUCUCCUCUAAUACUGGCUUACUAACUCCAUAUUCUUCCUUGUUUUUCCCUAUUUGUCCUUCUUCUCCUCAAGCAAAGGAAACAGGGGGAUAACUGGUUCUUUCUCAGGGCUUUCUUCUCUCAUCAUUUCCCUAGUAUAACCAUUUUUUGGAGUAGAGUAUUCUAGAUCUAACCUUUUUUGCAAACUUCUUGUUAAGGAACAAGGUCUGCUUACUUCUUCUCUGUUUUCCAAAGUGAUAUUUUCCAUAGUUUUCAAUACUUGCAUCAUGGUGGCUUGCAAGUCUUCAUUAGUCACUUUCCCUCCUUACUUCUCAGAUGAAGUCUGGUUUCCCAAAAUAGCUGGUCUUUAUAGGGAGGGGAAGCCUUCUGGAUGAUCUGUCAGGCUUGAUCUUGGUAGAUACUAUGGUGGCCCAUAUUCUGUGUUCCACCUGAAGGUUUUCUUCUUCAUUCUUCUUUUUGGCAUACAAGACUAAAUGGGUCUCAUCGGGCGUGCCAAAACUAUGUUCGGGCAAAGAUUUCUCUGGAGAAGGUUCCUCGGACCUCAGCACAACUCCCCAAGGGAUUGGCACUUUGGAUGUGUAGUCGGCCUCUUACUUGUUGAUGUGCUACAAGAAAAGAAUAAAGUUAGUUCUGAAAAGUGCCUUUGUGGGGCCUUAGGUGUAGGCCUUGAGGCUCGCAAUCAAAGCUAACUAAGUGUUAGGCGUGCCACUGUUAUCUCAUUAUAACAUAUGUAGAACAAGUGUGCUUUAAGUUGGUUACUUGCGCCCAAAGUUACUUCAAACUUCUUGUUAUCAAAGAAUUGUCGUGGAUGGGUUAAGUCCACAUUAAGUUAUCUUUCUUGCCUUGUAAACAAUGACUUUUAGUUCAUAAUCUUGUAUGUUCAAAUGGAGGGAGUCCAGAGCCCCUUAAGUCAUUUGUUUGAUCAUAGAUUGUUUUUAAUGAAAAACAUAUUGAUCAAACUAACCAGAUCCAGAUGCGAAUGAGAUUCUUGAACAAGUGGAAAUGACUUGAAUACAUGUUGGAUGAUACAUUAAGCGAUAGAUCUACUAAUGUAAAAAACAAACAAAGAGCUAUGGGCAAGAUUUCACCUUGUCUGGCAAGGUUGAACUUCUUGCAGUCACUUCUCUUUGUAUUUACAAGGUUUAUAUGCUAAAAAGGGAUGGAUAGUAAACAAGUUUACACAAGGGAAUCGAUACUACACCAUUGAGGGAGGUAGCAAAGCUUUUAUACUAGACAAGAGAUAGCUUUUUCAGAGAACUAUCGCUAAAAAUGACUGAAUCUGGGUUGAUUUCAGUUUUUAGAUGCAAAUCUAGCUUAAGAGCAGAGUUUCUAUGUUUGUUUGUUUGAUUGGUUGAGUGUCCUUGUCUCUGAAACCUCUUCUUCCUUUUAUAGACAAAUUAGCCCGACUGCAGUAACUUUUGCUUUUGCCCAAAUGCAUUUAGAGGGUUGUGAGCCAUCAGCUUUUUACUUGUAAUGCCACUGGAAAGUGUUAUUUGGCUAGUAGUAGGUUAGUCUCCAUCACUUGUCAUUUAAAUGGUAAGCACAUGGCUUGUAUCUUGGCUGAAAAGGUUUCAAUUUGCCUUAUGGCUCGGUGGUGGGCUUCGGGCAAGUCCCCUUUUAAUUGGCAUCCUUGGGCUAUCCUUCAUUUAAGCCCAAUGUUCAAAUAAUAACCCAAACAGGACUUAUCCAUGAAACAAUUGUAAUGUCUCAGGUCAAAAGAUUACUUUGCACAAUUUCAACUAAAGAGUCGUUUGCUUGACAUUCUAAAAUUUCACACAAGUACUUGAGUUGAUCACGUUCUAGGGAAUCAAUCCCCAUUAAGUAUCUAAACACUUCUUUAAUGUUUGAGACUAAAUAUGCACCUCUCUAUAUGAAAACAUAAUGUGUAUCAAUCAUUCUGACUAUCCCAAACACCACAUGGCAAGGGCCUAACAAUCAUGGUUCCACAAUUUCUCCUGACUUCGUCUCCAAUAGACAUUUUAAUGAAUUGUGACCUUCUCAGGUGCCAUCGCGGAGCAUUUGCAAACCACAAGUGUUUUUUUCUAGUAGAGGAUUAUGAAGAGGAUAGAAUCCAUGUAUGCAAACAAACCCAUAGAUCGAUACAACUCUGGCCAAGCUGGGUAGCAAUUCAAUUAUAAGGCAGCAGAUGCACCUUUUAAUUUACCAUUCUGGCCAACCCAUUUUACAUUUUUCAUGGAUAUGCCUAGUGAGCUAAGCAUCAGCCACAUCUGCCUCCCAGGAAGCUUUUUAAUCUCCUUUUCAUACUCCUUAAUGAUAUUAUUAGAAAGCUUGAAGAGUCAUUCACUCUAGCCAUCCUAAGCACCAGGUGGCGGAGGCCCAAAAAUCAUGGUCCUAAAAUUGCCCCUAUCUACUGUCUCUAAAGAUGUUCCCUUACGCAAGGUGUAAUUACCUUAGGACCAUACCAUGUCUAUUUUUGAAUGGCUUUUAAGAACUCUGAGUGUCCAGUGUAGAAUAUGUUGUAUGCACUUAUUUCAAAUUUAACAUUAUGUUUUGUAGUCAAAGAUUUUUUCGAUUCGCGCAUAUGCGAUGCCUAACUUUACAUUAUAAUGCAUAUUUAAUAUGCAACCAUUUCCAUGAAAACCAAAAAUCUCUUUUGUUAUCGAGAUUAAACAAUUGAGUUUAAACCUGAAUCGAGGCACACCAUUUCGAAUUCGGAAGCCUGUUGUCUAAAGGUCGCCUAUAAACACCAUUUCAAGUUCUUUUUUACAUCCUGCAAGAAUCCAAGGUUAUCCUCGACUUUUUAAACCUCUAACUUCAACUUCACGCUCUUCAAAUGAUGUUUAAGGGAUCGAUUCCUACCUCUGAAAAGUUUUUGAACUCCCACUUCGUCACAGAGAGCUUGGCAACUUACAUGGGAAGAUAAUGAAGAUAUAUUUGUUGACCUACCCUCAUGAGAAUCUAAUGGACCACAAACUUAACCAACGAGUUUGACAUCAAGGACCUUGGUCCUCUGCAAUAUUUUUUGGGGAUACAAAUGAUCAAGUUUGCAACAAGAUUGUUCUUAUCUCAAGAAAAGUAUAUUAAGGAUCUUCUACAGAAAGCUGAGAUGACAGAGUCCAAACAGUGUGUUACUCCUUGUCUACCUAACAAUAGACUUCUCAAAGAUGGUGGGCAGCCUUACAAUAAUCCUAAGUUAUAUAAAAGUGUGGUUAAUGCAUUACAAUACCUGGUGUUCACAAGAUCCAAUAUUGCUUUCUUUGUGCAUCAAGUUUACCCAUUCAUGAAUGAACCAAUGGCUUCCCAUUUUCCUGCUGUGAAAAGAAUACUCAAAUACCUCGAAGGUAUUGCAUCAUAUGGUAUUCAACAACUACUUAGCUUCUUCAACAACUACUCAAUUUCUUACAAAUGCCUAAUCUUCAUGUUUUGUUCUGUGACAAUCUAUUAGCUAUAACAUUUGUCCAUUUAAUCUUGUACAACAUUAGAAGACUAAACACAUUGAGAUUGAUUUGCAAUUUGUUAGAGAAAUAGUUGCUAACAAAAAUCUCCUGGUUCAAUUUGUGUCUUCUAGUGAACAGUUUGGUUGCAUACAUUCUUACAAAAGGCCUUAGUGCUCAUCUUUUCAAUUCAUACUGUCAUAGCCUCAUGCUUGGAUCUUCCAACCACAACUUUGAUGGGGAUGUUAGAGUAUACAAAUGCAUGCACCAUAUUAUGACAGGUAUCAAUUGAUUAGGAAAUGAGUUAUAGUUAGUUUGUUAGAGAUUUGUUAUAUAAGUGAGUAAUAGUAAUGACUUGAUUACCAAGGAAAUAUAUUAGAAUUUACAGUUCUCCUCUAAGCUCUCUCUUUAAACUCACGACUUCCUCUUCUCUCUAGCCUUCUAUGAUAUGCUUUACAUUGACAUUGGGUAAGUUUUACCAUUCAAACGUUUGGAUUGCUGCAAUAUGAAAGAAAUUCAGAUUCCAUGGAUAUUCGCUACUACUUUAUAAAUUUUUUACACUUCCCAACAAAUACUCAAUUAUAUCCUUAAUCAUAUUAUCAAGAAGCUAAUAUGACGACAGAUAAAUUUGCUUUUUUAGGUCACAAUCACAAUUAUUCAUGUAUGUGGUUUUAUACUUUUUCAAAUGUAAUUUGCUUACUUCAAACGUGUAAAUUGUUUAAGAAUUUAAGAGUUGUCGAAUACUAUCCGUAAAAAAAUAAAAAAAAAGUAAAAGUAAACUCUUUGUAAUACUUUUCACCUCUUGAAACAUAACAAAUUUUAACCAUUGUAUCUGUGUUUUAAUUAAAUAAAUGUUCCCUUGAAAUCUGGGAGAUGUGAGAUUUGUGUAUACUUAAAUUACACUACGAAAUCUCUUAAAUUUCCUCGAAUUCCUCAACUUUUUCAAAUUCUUUAAAAUCAAAUUCUAAGUGAAUAUAGGGGUGGGCACUUGGAAUAGAAAACCGAAACCAAAACACAAAUCGAAUCGGACUGCACCGAACGGUUUGGUUUUGCGGUUUUGAAACCGAACCUUUACAAAGAAAACGGUUUGGUUUUGGUUUUGGUUUUGGGUUUUCAAAACCGCACCAAAACUGAAAUCGAAACUGCACCAUAUUGAAUGUUAUGUUUUAAUUAGUUCAACUACACUAGUCAUGUCCAAUUUUGCACCACUAUUCGAGUCCAUACAUCUCUCUCUCUCUCUCUCUCUCUCAAAACUCAUCGUCAUCUGUCUUUCUCAAAAGAUAUCUGAUGAUAUCAUUUGUGUUUUCUAGAAUUGCAGUUUGUAAGGACAUCCAAAAUGUUAUUCGUUGGUCAAGUCCAAGUCCCAUCUCCCUUUUCAUAGUCCAGUUUGCUUGUUGGAACGUUACGGGUCCUAUUUCUACCCUAAGCUGAUGGUAUGAGAAAGCUUAUUGCUGCUCAAAAUCCUGAUUUAGUUUAUAUUGUUGAAACUGGAGUGAGAUUGGUCAUUGAAGAUGUAAGUUCUAGAAGUUUUAUUUGGAUUACUCUAUGAAUAACUUGGGUAGUUAAUAUAUGAGGAAAAUAAGACCGUCUUAUGCGUAAAUAGGUGUAUAUUUUAAAUUGUACAUUUUUUUCUCAAAAACCGAACCGAAACCUUUUGAAACCGCACAAAACCAAACCAAACGGUUUGGUUUCAUUUCCGUUUUGGCUUCAAAACCGCACCACAAAAAAUUUCAGUUUCGGUUGUGGUUUCACUCGAAACCGCACCGCGCCCACCCCUAAGUGAAUACACCCGAAAUGUUAUAAACUAAUUUAAAAUCCUAAUUGAAUACACCCGGAUUUCCAAUAAUUUUAAUUAAUUAUCUUAAAAUUCUGAUUGAAUACACUUUUAAAUUUCAGAGAAUCACUUAAAUCUAUAUUGAAUACUCCUAAAUUCAUAAAAAAUAAAAAAUACAACAACAACAACAACAAAGCCUUUUCCCACUAAGUGGGGUCGGCUAUAUGAAUCCUAGAACGCCAUUGCGCUCGGUUUUGUGUCAUGUCCUCCGUUAGAUCCAAGUACUCCAGUCUUUUCUUAGGGUCUCUUCCAAAGUUUUCCUAGGUAUUCCUCUACCCCUUCGGCCCUGAACCUCUGUCCCGUAGUCACAUUUUCGAACCGGAGCGUCAGUAGGCCUUCUUUGCACAUGUCCAAACCACCGGAACCGAUUUUCUCUCAUAUUUCCUUCAAUUUUGGCUACUCCUACUUUACCUCGGAUAUCCUCAUUCCCAAUCUUAUCCUUUCUCGUGUGCCCAUACAUCCCACGAAGCAUCCUCAUCUCCGCUACACCCAUUUUGUGUACGUGUUGAUGCUUCACCGCCCAACAUUCUGUGCCAUACAAUAUCGCUGGCCUUAUUGCCGUCCUAUAAAAUUUUCCUUUGAGCUUCAGUGGCCUACGACGGUCACACAACACGCCGGAUGCACUCUUACACUUCAUCCAUCCAGCUUGUAUUCUAUGGUUGAGAUCUCCAUCUAAUUCUCCGUUCUCUUGCAAGAUAGAUCCUAGGUAGCGAAAACGGUCACUUUUUGUGAUCUUCGCUAGAUUGCUCCGGUCAUUAGUGUGGAUAAGUAUAUAAAUGGAUAGAGAUAGGAAAGCAAACACAAGAUGUACGUGGUUCACCCAGAUUGGCUACGUCCACGGAAUAGAGGAGUUCUCAUUAAUUGUGAAGGGUUUACACAAGUACAUAGGUUCAAGCUCUCCUUUAGUGAGUACAAGUGAAUGAUUUAGUACAAAUGACAUUAGGAAAUAUUGUGGGAGAAUGAUCUCGUAACCACGAAACUUCUAAGUACCAGAGUGUGGUAUCAUCUUGACUUUCCUUAUCUGUCUCAUAGGUAGAUGAGGCAUCUUCUCUGGAAGUACUCUUCCUCCAUCCAGGGGUGGUACCUGUAACUGGUGGAGAUGCAUAAGGUAAUGUAUCAAUGUCACUUGAAGCUUACUUGUAGUUUCAGGCUUGGUCAAGCGCGAUACAAACCAUGUAGUAGGAGUCCCCCAAACCGCCGAGCUAGGGGAUCUGCUGAAAGAGGUGACAGACAAGGUAAGCAAUCAGAGCUCCGGCUGAUUGUUCACAUUCUCCCUAUCUUGCAGGCAGCAUGAAGGAUAAAGAGAAGAAAAAUGAGAAUAGAUGAUAUGGGAUACUUUUGCUUUUGAAGAAGUAACUUUCCACAGGCUUAUUCUUGAACUGGGCUGGAGGGUUUUCUGGUUUCCUCCAGAGUAUAAGGUCGACUGAAGAAUUUGAGGGUCAAAACAAGUCCAUCAAAUCUAGAGUACAUUAGACCCUGCUGAUAUGGGAUACUUUUGCUUUUGACAGAGUAGUGGAUGUAUCGGCACGUGUGCUGUUACGCUUGUCUCCACAUGCUUCCUUGUAUCCUUCUCACUUGCCUUAUCUGUUCCUCAGGCAAAUGCGGUAUCUUCCCUGGAAGCAUAAGAUGUUGAAGAUAAGUACUCGAGAGCAAUGCCAGGUAAGUAAUCAGGUAAGGGGUUCCAGGCAGUCAGUUCCUGGCUGGAAGCUUGAUUCCAAGUGCUGACUUAUUGCUCUCUUUCUCCUUGUUUUGCAGGUAAGAACAAGGCCAAAAGAAAAGACAGGGAAAAAGCAUGAUAUGGGAUACUCUUGCUUUUAACCCUGAUGAUAUGAGAUAUUCUUGCUCUAGUAUAGUUUGUUUACAGAGGUAUUAUCGGGGGGAAAGAAAGCUGAAUAUUUCGAAAGGCUUCGUUGGGAGUGCCCUCUCAGAUAAGAGGAAGGGUUGAGCAUUUUUGCAGGUCUGCCUGUCCGUUGGGGAUGGAGGUCGACAUAUAUAGGAGGAGUCUCCCUAACAUCAAGUAAUAAUGUUAUUCCUUUACCCUGCUUGGUCAUAGCACGGUAGUGGGAGCUGCCAGCUUCACAAGUUUUAACUAUGUCAGAGCACUUUGAAAAAGUGGUCUGUGGUAUCUGGAAAGCUGAUGUUGCGUGUGAAGAUUACAGACAAGCUUUAUCCAAGGAGAUCCAGCUCUUGAAGUUGGGAAAGUGGUGCCUCUUCGGUUUUCGAACAAGCAAUCCUGUCGGGGAUCUCGCUCUCGAGAUUCGGAGAACGAUGCCUCUUCGAUUUUUGAGAAAGCAAUCCUGCUGGGGGUCUGGCUCUCGAGAUUCGGAGAGCGGUGUCUUCGAUUUUUUAGAAAGUAAUCAUGUUGGAAGUCUGGCUCUCGAGAUUCGGAGGGCGGUGCCUCUUCGAUUUUGAAGCAAGCAAUCUUGUUGGGAGUGUUUUCUCGAAUGUGAGUAAAGGUUGGGCAUGUUUGCUAGUCUACCUUGCCACGAAGCACAGAGGUUGACACACAGGGACUUUCCAAUUAUCCAGCAGUGGU
rnacentral:lncRNA from 1 species